GACAAGAAGAGGCUGGCCACCAGUGGAGCCAACUUUGCGCGCGCCUACACCGUGGAGUUCGGCAGCUGCCAGUUCCCCUACAACUUCACUGGGUGCCAGGACCUCGCCAAGCAGAAGGUUCAUUCUCUCAUCAUCACACACAUAUAUAACAAACCUCACCGCGCGGCCUGCUGACAAUAAUCUGAACUGGUUUCUUCUCAUCCUGUGCCGUGUCGUCCGUGCUUCAUUGUGCUCUUGCAGAAAGUCCCCUUCAUCAGCGACGACCUCGAGAUUGAGUGCGAGGGGAAGGAGAAGUUCAAGUGCGGCUCCAACGUUUUCUGGAAGUGGUGAAGCAGCUAGCAGCAGCGUCUGAUGGGAAUGGAGGAGAUCAUCACCUGUCUUGUCGACCCUAGAUAUGUCCAAACUGCAGGGAAAUUAAAUCUUCAUGUGUAAUUGUGCUCAUUCUGUUUCAAUCAUCUCAACAUCCGAUCAUGAACCUCUUGCAUUAUUAACUGGCUCGAUCGUCUUCUCAGUUUAAGACAUUGGAGGCUGCUUUGUUUGUUUCAGAGGUCCUUCUUAAGAUGAUGCUAUAUUUUGUCAUGGUUAAUGUGAUAAACAGGGUCAGGUCGGAUUAUUCUUGAAUAUAUAAAAUAGAAUUUUAGGCUCUAGCAAACCAGUAUAUGAGCAAAAGAAAAUUUGGAAACAAGAAAGUACCUAGAUGUAAAAAAAUAUGAACAAUAAGAAGAGAAUAAUAACAGUAGUAGUCUAUACCACUAGAUAAUCCAACAGUUUAAACAUUACAAAACUCACCUAACCAAAUCAUCCACACACCAAUAACCUCCACAAACAAAUUGCACCCAGACUUAACAUACCAUUAAAACCAAAGGUUCAGAUCUUCCAUUACUUACUCAAAUCCAAUAACAAUAUUAUUUACAUCAUCUCUCAUCCACCCCCUCUCCCUCCGACUCACUCGUGCCGCCACCACCGUCAACCCCGCCCCUCAUGUCGUCGUCGUCAUCGUCGACCCUUCCCCUCCUCGGGGUCAUAGCCGUAGUGAGAUUGCGUAUAAUGUGUGAGAUGCAUUGCAUUGAGCUUUUAGGGAGAAUAUAGAAGUACAUAACUUGGAGGGCAAGAAGUCUAUCCUAAAGAUGACAAAGGUUAUCCUAGAGAUAAGAAAGGUUAUUCCGAGAUUACAAUCAAUCCAAUCAACCUUAACCAACCAUAUCAGAUUUUGCCUAAUAUCACUACCGGAAUUGGCCGCUUUGCCGAGUGCCUGAAGCACUCGGCAAAGUCUAAAAAACACUCGGCAAAGUCUUUGCCGAGUGUCGCACUCGGCAAAGUCUAUGCCGAGUGUCGCACUCGGCAAAGAGGGCUCGAUGAACAGUGCAUCGGCAAAGACUUCUUUGCCGAGUACUUUUUCUCGGGCACUCUUGCCGAGUGCCAGAAGGUACUCGGCACAGACUUUGCCGAGUGCCAGAAGGUACUCGGCAAAGAAAAGCCGCCGUCACGGUGCCGGGGUGAUGGAGACGUCGUCUUUGCUGAGUGUCUCCUAAUGCACUCGGCAAGCAAGUUCCUCUUUGCCGAGUGUCUGCCGGCUAGCACUCGGCACAGAAUCCAUCAGGGGUCCCUUUGUCAGGUUCUUUGUCGAGUGCUCUGUAUGGCACUCGGCAAAGCGUGCCUCUGUGCCGAGUGCCAGGGCCACUACACUCGGCAAUGAACCUAUACCGGUGCCUAGGUCUUGGUUCUUUGCCGAGUGCUAUGGCCAUGACACUCGGCAAACCCCCUCUUUGCCGAGUCUAACACUCGGCAAAGUGACCAGUACACACCUUUUUAUUUGUUUUUUCUAUUCCAUCCAAACAAACAAAAGAUACAUCACAUAUAUUAUCACAUAUAUCACAUAUAUACAUCAUAGAUAUCAUCACAAACAUAAAAUAUCUAACACAAACAUUAAUAUACAAGUUCUCAACACAAACAUAAGUAUCAACACAAGUCCAGAAGUAUAAAAACAUAAUUUUCAAGCUCUAACAUAAGUAUUCAACACAAGUUCUGAAGUCUGAACACUAAAAACAUAGCUCUCAUCGAGGUGGGCUGUUAGACUGGUGCUACGAUGGGCUGGGCUGUUCAUGAGGGUUGUUGGAUGCCGCCCCAGAUUGGCCUUACACAGAGAAGACAUUGCAUGUUUUAUACCAGAUGCAUUACCAACAUCUAACUACAAUUUUGAUACUCACAGGAGUAUGAAACAAAGUAGGGUCAAUUGUAGGGAACAAUGGAGGUGGUGGAGCGAAACUCUGUGCAGCGCCAAGGCUCUGCAUGUAUUGGAACAUCUCCGCCAUUCUCUGCUAAUCUGCCAGGCGAGCCGCCCGCUCCGCCUCCCGCUCCACCAUCAUCCUUGCCUCCAUCUCGUGACGUUCCCUCCUCUCUUCCUCUAGCUGGGUCUAUAAUAUUACAAGCCAAUGUUAUAGUAACUCAAAGAGAAGGUAUAUAACUCAAGUAAUGACGAGUUACAGAAGCACUAACCUCCAGUUGUUGUAUGCGAUGCUGUGAGCUAUCGUGCCGAGGUCGUGUGGCUGGACUCGAGCCCGUGCUCCUUGCUCGCACCUGAGACAAAGUGGGAGUGGAGGACGAGUCGAUUGCCCCAUCGGCAAUCCAGUACCGCCUCUGUCUCUUGCCUCCUUCGACCCUCAUGAGCACAUCGAGGUCGAUCUCCUUGGUCCUCGGAUCGUAUUCUAGGCCAUGGACCUCCUGCGCCAUGGCGAUAUAGUCAUGAAGGCGACUGUAGACGGCGGGGUUGCUCUACGCCUCGGGCCCGUCAUCCGGGUUGUAGGUGACGUCGGACGUCGCCUUGCCCUUAUGGGCCAUAGCAUAGGCCGAGAAGAUGGAGCAAGGCUGGCCACCAUGUGACGCCGACUUCAAAAAAACCAACGAUAUAGUUAGAAAUAAUAUCUAAUCCAGUGUUAUAUACCUAAAUAAAAAGAGGGCGUACCCAUGCUUCUGCAUAUUUGUCGAGGCUGCGGCUGCCUUGGUGGUGCGAGGGACCUUGCAUCAUUAGACGUCAUUCCCGGCUAGCGUUGUGUGCCUCGUCCCACUCAGUCGAGCACCACCUAUCCACCAUCUGCUCCCAGCACAGAGGAUGUGCGGCGCACCAAUAUGGAAUCAUCUACAAAGUAAACACGUAAACUGCAUAUUAGAAGAUAAAAUUAAAUUCAUGCAUGGAGUACUGGUACCAAACAUGAAUGACUUUACAUGCAGGUACUGGUCCCUGGUCAACGACAUGGUUUGGGCUUGCUGCUUGGUCACCUUCUCCCUAAGGACGGACCGUGGUAGCUGACGAUGGCCUGGAUUUGGGCCUCAUAGUGCAUGUCCACGACGAGCUUCUUACAGUUCGUGGUGGCCACCACAUCCGCCCUAGCCUCGUAUCCAGUCUCGCAUCUGUAGUAAUUCUGCAUACAAAAACGAUGUAUCCAUACAUUAUUUCAAGAAUGUGCAAUGAAUGCAACAUAUUUUACAUUACACUAAAACUUACCCACAGCUCUUGCUUCACCCACUCCGGCUUGUUUUUGAAUUCUCGACCGUCCCGGUCUACUGCAUUGGGUGCGAUGGCGUAGUGGUCGAAGGUGUAGGCUGGGCCCAUCACUCCGGCGUACUCAACCAGUCUAGGGAAGUGUUCCCUGCAUAGCAGGCUGAGGAUGCCAUUGGGGUUGUGACGAUGACCCCCAGCAUUCUCCACAACCGCCCAAGACCUGUCCAAGUGAUAAAUAAAAAGUAUUAGUUUAUAUUAUGAUUUUGAACACAUAAUAUGAACAAGAAUGAAGAACAUAAAGUUUCAUGCCUCUCCCCAUCUGGCCGAAUCAGUGGCCGCCUGUCCCGAAGUUUUGACGCUGAGGGAGACUCACGGGACCUCGCAGGUAGACGCUCCUCGAGCCUCAGGUGCAAGAACCUGAGGCGUCCUGCUGAGCUUCGUCGUCGUCCUGCUGCUGGUCGUGGUCGUCCUGCUGCGCCGCCUGGUGCUGGACAAGGUCGUCCUGCUGCGCCGCCUGUUGUGCCUCGUCCUGCUCUGCCUCGUCCGUCGUCCUGCUCCUCCUCCCCCUCCGCCUCCUCAGCCAACCGCCCACCAUCUUUGUCCAACAACCUGCAAUUAAGAGUAAACAAAUAAGCACAUAUAAAAAGAUGUAUUUAAAAAUAGGUGCGAAAUAAAAAGUCAUAUAGCAUUAAAUCGAUUAAAAAUAAUCUUCAUAUGUGUCGGGGUUAGCCGGAUCAUAACUCUCAUCAUCACUAUCAACCACUUCAUAGCCAACACCAUCUGAAGGCGCAAGUUCGUCAUUAAUGUCAUUGCCUUCAAGGAUUACUAAGUCAUUCUUAUUUUGCACCUCAUCCUCCUCCUCAUCAACAACCAUUUCAAUAUCUACGUCUAUUCCGAUAGCUUCGGUUAAGUCUAUCUCAAAUUGCCCUUCUAGCCCAUCUUCUUGGAAGAACUCUCCAUCAUAUGUGUCCGAGUCUAAGUUAUAAUCUUCAUCGUUAGGAACAAGUAAUCUCCCAUGCGGUGAUACCUUAUACACAACAUCCCAACCCUUAAGAUGUUCUUUCGUUUGACACGCAUAUGGGAGAUAAUACACUUGUGUGGCCUAUUGGGCCACGAUAUAGACAUCGUCUCCUGGUAAGGUGGAAUCUUGUCGAAUUUCGACUAUCCCAAGAUUAGAAUGUGUCCGUCUCGUCACUUGAGGGUCAAACCAAUGACAUUUGAAUAUCACUGGAGUAAGAGGUUUGGAACCAUAAAAAUUAAGUUCAUAUAUUUCUUCGAUUCGUCCAAAAUAAUCGACAUCAUCAAGGCCGGGCGUAAAGACUCCAGAACACGUUGUUUUCCGAUUGGGCCGACUUUGGUUGUAGUUUGUUGUGCGAAAACGGUAUCCAUUGACGUCAUACCCAGAAUAUUUCUUGACCCUAUAAGCAAAGCCGUUGGCUACUUGUCUCAACUCGGCACUCAUAGACGGAUCUCUUUGGCCCUGCAAGUAUUCGCAAGUUAAAAGACACUAAAUUGAGUUCAUAGACGGAUCUCUUUGACAAACUAAGCACGUACCUUACGUUUGAACCAGGAAAUGAAAUCGAGCAAUCCAUUUCUCGCACCCUUUCUAAGAAGAGUAUCAUAUUCCUGUGGAGUUAGGUCCCUUGAUCGACGCCAGAAUUCAUGAAGAAAUUGUUCCAUGUAUGGCGUCACCUCUUCAAGGUUGGUCAAUACAUAUAGCAUGAUAUACCGCCACUCUUCAUGUGUCAGGGUCUUGGUGGUCGAGCCACUUGCGCUUUCGAGUUGGCCUCGAAAUAUGCUGAGGUUCGAUUCAUUAUCACCAUCAUUGUAACGAGGGGGUGGGUUAUGCACGCUUGGUAGUUUGUCACCAUAGUAAGUUGUUGUGAAGUUUGACACCUCCUCUUGAAUGUAUGCCUCUGCAAUGGAAGCCUCGAUUUUGCAUUUAUUUCUACAUUUCUUUUGAAUAGUCUUUAGACAUCUCUCGAUUUGAUAGCACCAACGUCCCUGCACGUGCCCCCCAUUCGUGCCUCAUAGGGGAGAUGAAGAAUCAAAUGCUGCAUUGGAUUGAAGAAGUCGGGGUGGAAAUAUAUUCUCAAGCUUACACAGUAACACGGGUGCCAAUCUUUCCAAGUCUGCAACCAUAGUCCGAGAUAACUCUUUUGCACAAAGCUGAUGGAAGAAAUAGCUCAACUCUGAAAGCGCUAGCCAGACAUGCUCAGGGACAUAACCUCGAACCAUCACAGGAAGAAUCCGUUCAAUCCAUAUGUGGAAGUCAUGACUCUUCAUCCCUAAGACUCGCAGAGUAGAUAAGUUCACCCCCUACCCAGGUUAGCUACAUACCCAUCAAGGAACAUCAACAUCUUGAUCCACUGAAGUACUUCCUUCCUCUGGGCCCUGCUUAGGACAAAAUUGGCCUUAGGCCUUCUCCAUGUCUUUCCACCACUUGGCGGCUUCAUCUCUUGGUUUGGUCUAUCACAUAACGCUGCCAGAUCCACUCUUGCCUUUAUGUUAUCCUUUGACUUAUCAGGAAUGUCCAUAAUUGUUGCCCAAAGUGCCUCGGCAACAUUCUUUUUAGUGUGCAUCGCGUCAAUGUUGUGUGGAAGGAGCAGGUCGUCAUAAUAGGGGAGCCGAGUCAAGCCCGACUUAUGUGUCCACAUAUGCUGCUCACCAUAUCCCAUAAAACCACCUUCUGUAUUGGCCACGAGCCCAUCUAUCUGUUGAUGAAUUUUGGCACCAGUGAUCGUUGCAGGUGGGCGGUCUGUCACUACGACACCUUUCGUAAAGUUCUUGAUGUCUAGGCGGAAUGGAUGGUCAGGAGGGAGAAAUUGUCGAUGUUUAUCGAAGGACGAAUAUUUGCCACCCUUUUUCAACCAAAUGAACCUUAGAGCUUCCUUGCAAACUGGGCAUGGGAACUUACCAUGAACACACUAGGCGCAGAAUAGCCCAUACGCCGGUAAGUCAUGCAUAGAGUACUGGUACCAAACAUGCAUUCUGAAGUUUGUCUUCGUGGCUCGGUCAUACGUCCAUACCCCUUCCUCCCAGGCACGUACCAAUUCAUCGAUCAAAGGCUCCAUGUACACGCCCAUUUUAUUCCCCGGGUGUCCGGGAAUUAUCAACGACACGAAUAUAUUCUGCCUUUGAAAGGACACACCGGGGGGAGAUUGAUUGGGAUAACAAACACGAGCCAACAUGUGUACGGGCAGCGCUCAUUCCAUAGGGAUUGAACCCAUCUGUGGCCAGCGCAACACGUACAUUACGAGCCUCUUCGGCUUUCUCACGGUGAAUGGCAUCAAAGCGUUUCCAUGCUUCACCAUCGGAUGCGUGCACCAUCUUGUCAGGAUUGUAUCGUUUUCCAUUUUUGUGCCAUGUCAUCUGUUUCGCGGAUUCCUCGGUCAUGUAUAGACGCUGGAUCUGCGGUAUGAACGGAAGAUGCCGUAGGAUUGUCAAGGGGAUGUCGAGCUGCCUCUUCUGUCCAUCACCAGAGUCUAGCUCCAUGAACAUAGACGAUUUACACUUGGGAUAGUACUUUGCCUUCGCGUAUUCUUUCUUAAAUAGCACGCAGCCCUUCAGACAAGCAUGUAUCUGCUCAUACGUCAUCUUGAGUGCACGAAGGAGUUUAUGUGCCUCGUACAUGCUCUUUGGCAGAACGUGAUCCUUCGGAAGCAGGCUCCCAAUAACCGUUAACAAGCCAUCGAAUGCGUCUCGACUCAUGUUGUACUACGACUUGAACGCCAUUACACACCCAAUGGCAUCCAGUUGAGAAACCUUUGUCUGGCCGUGAAGGAGCUUUUGUGCCACGUCAAACAUGUCAUAGAAUGCCUUUGCAGUCGGCUCUGGCUCGUCAUCCGUACAUCCACCGACGUACUGUGCCUCCUAAUAGUCGUUCAACAUAUCCGCUACCCUCACAUCGGCAUCAUAAUCCUCGACGCGUUGUCUCAGCACCUCCUCUCUCGUACGAUGCACUUCACCAUGAAAGAUACACCGAGUAUAGUCCGGCAUAAAUCCAUUCUUCUAAAUAUGUUCUACCAUGGCCUUCAUUGAUUUUCUCUUCUGUUUGGCACAUUUGCUGCACAGGCAUGGGACUAGACUCGCUCCUUUAGCAGCUUCGCCAUAUGCCCGUUCCACGAAAUCAUCGGUCUUUCUAAUCCAUUCAGGGGUGACAUCGUUCCUUCCUCUACGGCCCAUGUACAUCCACUCACGGUCCUCCAUCCUCUAACAGAAGCCUAUCAAUAGAAAAUUUUGGCAACACCUCCGCUGCACGGGGAGGUUUCGAAAUCCUACAUAUAAAAGUAUCAGCACGAUGGCUGACAUCCAUGUAUAAUUCAACGGCACGAUGGCCGACAAUCACAUCUAUAUAUAUUCAAUCCAUGAGAGAUAACACAACAAAACUGCAUUUACAUGGAAACUACAUUUACAUGAUUUACAUAUUUCAUUCACAAAUUCUCAAUGAGACUAUAGCCUAACUUACAUGAUUUACAUCCUAUCAUUCACAGAUUUACAUUAUUUACAUCCUAUCAUUCACAAAUUUACAUGAUUUACAUCCUAUCAUCUAAUCAAUAAUAAAUACAAAGUGACACGUAAUAAAUACAAAUCUAAAUCAUGAACAAAUUCAUACCUAGUGGAGAUCGUCGAGGACGGGCGUGAGUCGCGUGGGGGCGGCGGUUGGGCCGCGCGGGUUAGGGCGGUGCGGGUCAGGGCGGUGCCGGCGGGGGGUGGUGCGCGUGGCGGUGCCAGCGGGGAGCCGGCGAGGGGUGGUGCGUGUGGCGGGGCCAGGCGGCGGUGGUGGCUGGGCGGGGAGGCGGGGCGUGGGGAGGCGGGCUCCGACGGCAGAGGCAGUGGGCGCGGGGAGGCGCGGCGGUGGUGGCCGGGUCAUGGGGAGGCAGCGGUGGGGAGGCGGGGCGUGGGGAGGCGCGGUCGUAGGGAGGCGGUGACAGGUGAGGAUGGGCGGGUCGCCGGUGGGGAGGCGGCGGCGGUGAGGACGGGUGAGUGAGAGUGAAAGAGGAGAAGGAGAGGCUGCAGACGGUUAAGUGUCGCUUCUUUGCCGAGUGCCCGCGAUCUGGCACUCGGUAAAGAUUUUUUUAAUUUAAAAAAAUACUUUGCCGAGUGCCUACUGACAGGUACUCGGCAAAGACUGGAUUUAGGGUUUUUGUCGGGUGUCCCACGGCUAUUACUCGGCACAGACGUCUUUGCCGAGUGUCAUCACUAGACACUCGGCAAAGUAUAUUUUUAUUUUUUUAAGUUUCCUUACCAAACUUUUUCUGGUAUGUUCCUACACUAUGUAGACCUACAUGUACCAUUUUGGCACAUUUAUAAAAGUGUUUCCUAUAACUAUUGGAUUUAGUUCGUUUAAUGGAAUUUUCUUCGAUAAUUUAGAUUUGAACUGCAAGUUACUCGAAACUUGGAAAACCGUGUAUGAAAAAAUGAUAUUCAUGCUAUUUAGCACAAGUUAUGACCGAUUUCAAGAGCGGACCAGAAACUUCGAGCACCAAGCUCACUAAACAUGGUCGUGAACUUGCCAUCCAGUUGUUUCAAAAUUGUAUAAGACACAAACAAAGUCAGAAAAUCAUGAAACUUGUCCACAUGUCAUUAUAUCAUAUAUAGAGGCUGUGAUAAAAAUUUGAGAAUGUUUCGAAAAAGUUGUGAGACGGUAUGUGUAUGAACCUAAGAGAAGUACACAUGAAAUCACAGAGUUUCAAUGUACUUCUCUUAGGUUUAUACACAUACUUUCUCACAACUUUCUCGAAACAUUCUCAAAUUUUUAUCACAACCUCUAAAUAUGAUAUCAUGAAAUGUGGACAAGUUUUAUGAUUUUCUGACUUUGUUUGUGUUUUAUACAAUUUUGAAACAGUUGAAUGGCAAGUUCAUGACCAUGUUUAGUGAGCUUGGUUCUCGAAGUUUCCGGUCCGCUCCUGAAAUUGGUCGUAACUUAUGCUAAAUAGCAUGAAUAUCAUUUGUGCAUGCACGAUUUUCCAAGUUUUGAGUGACUUGCAGUUCAAAUCUGAAUUAUCGAAGAAAAUUCCAUUAAACGAACUAAAUCCAAUAGUUAUAGGAAACACUUUUAUAAUUGUGCCAAAAUGGUACAUGUAGGUCUACAUAGUGUAGGAAUAUACCACAAAAAGUUUGGUAAGAAAACUUAAAAAAAUAAAAAUAUACUUUGCCGAGUGUCUAUGGAUGACUCUCGGCAAAGACGUCUGUGACGAGUGUCAGCCGUGGGACACUCGGCAAAGAAGCUUCUUUGCCGAGUGUCAACGCCCGACGCUCGGCAAAAUCUAACGGCCGUCAGUUAUAGACGGCUGCUGACGGCCUUUUGCCGAGGGCCGCCUUCGCCGAGAGUUUAGCACUCGGCAAAGAUAGCUUUGCUGAGUGUAGUUUUUUUCCGUGAGUCCUGCUCUCGGCAAACACGUUCGUUACCGAGAGCUAGACUGUGUCGAGUGCCCGACAAAAAGCACUCGGCCAAGGGCCAAGCACUCGGCAAAGCCACAGAUUCCGGUAGUGUAUAUAUACUCUAAUCGUAGCGUUAGCAUGGGAUAUAUGCCAGUGACAACAACAACAUUAGUAAUAAUAAGAUCCUAAGACAAUUAAAGAAUAUAUAAGUUUUUUUAGUUCUUUAUAUAUUUCUAAUUGGCGUAACCAAUAGUUACGUUUCUUAUGUUAAAAACUAUACACCCUAGAAAUAUCUAUUGGUAUUCCUAAACUUCGCAUGAAUCACUACUACAGAAUGAAAUAUCUAUACCAGUUGAGAAUUGGUCACGGUACCGAAUUUCCAACCGGUACUUGUCAUUUAGAAUUAAAGACCUCAGUUUUUAAUACCGGUUGUAUGAACCCGUACUAAAGUUGAAACUUUGGUACCGGUUCUUGGCAUGAACCGAUACUAAAGAUGUAACUUUUAGUACCGCUUCAUGCCAAGAAUCGGUACUAAAUGUUACAUCUUUAGUACCGGUUAGAACUGUUACUAAAAUAUUAAUGGACUUUUUAUUAUAUGCUUACGCACAUUAAAAUGGUUGUGUACAUUAAUUUAUUUAUAUAUAUACAUAUGUAAAUGUGUAGAUUCAUAUAUACAUGUGUAGAAUCAAUAAUAUAUACAUUAAUAUUCAUGUGUAGAUUCAAAUAUACAAAUGGAUAUUUAUAUUAACAGUAAUACAUACAAAUGCCUAUGAAGUUUCCUAACUUCUAAAAAUAUCUCUAUUUCUAUGUUCUUAAUAUGAAUCUUCUUUAUCUUCUGCAUGUUGAAGAUUUUGUCGAUCAUAAUAGAACUCUCCUUCUUUGGAUACGACAUCUCUAUUUAUAAAAGCAUAUAAGUUGUUAUUGAAUUGCUUCUAUCCUAUCCAUAGUGAAUACUUUUUCCUUCAUCUUUAUUAUCUGUCAUUUGCCAAUAACAUUGAUAAAAAGUGUUAUUGUAUUAAAUUGAAAGCUGGUAUACUUUAUUGAUAUGAAAUUAACAUCAACACUGUAGAAAAUGUUGAUGUACCUCGAUAUUUUUGGCCACUGACUUGUUACCUAUGAAUGUCUGAAUAAAUUCACAAAUGUAGUAACCAUAGAGGUGGUUUCCUUUUUCCUAUAUCAAACACUAAAAUCGAGAAACAAGUAAUGAAUUAUUAUUAGCAAAUAACUUGAGGGAUCGGAAAGCUACAAACGUACAUGAAAGUUUGACCUAAUCUAAAGAGUUUCUUUUAGGCUGACAUGCUUUUUCAUAGCCAACUCAUGCACUGCAUAAUGAAAAUUACAAGUCUUUGGUACAUGCAUGAUUCAAUUAUUUAGAGGUUUAUAGAGUUAGGUUUGAAUGGUAAGAAUUACUCUUUAAGAAGGUAUAUUAUUUCUUUUAAGUCAUCGACUUGCUUCCUCAAGGAGUCAAGGAUAAAUAUAAUACCUUCUUCCAUUAAGAUCACCAAAAGUACCCAUUGAAAGUUGUAGGAAAGUUACAAAAAGGUAGAACAAAUUAGAAAUACACAUUUAGUCUAAAAAGGUAUGGGUACAAAAAGAUAAUGGACACUAACUUAAAAUUAUAUGGAAUUAGUAUACAUUACAUAUAGUGUUGCUUUGUGAAGGAACUUGUGCGGUCUUUGUAGGAUAGCCGACCGAUAUCCCUAAUUGUUAUUUGGUUUAUGUGCACUAGGUCCAUGAAGUCAAUAUUGAAAAUCCCUUCUUUACAACAUCGUUGGAUGUCCAUGCUUUAGAAAACAUAGUAGGUGUAAGAGAACUUCAGUUAGCAUUGAAUAUAUAUUAUUCAGUAGUGGACAAGAGAGAAGGUAAAUACUUAUAGAACUCAGGUGCUGGGUCUAACGCAUUCCACCGGUAUAUAUCAAAUAUAUUGUUAAAAUCGAGCCACAUCACAUCAACAUUGUUGAAGUAGUGGUCUUGUAUAAACACACAAAAGGUGACCCUAUCAGCGGUUGAAUCCUUCAAAUAUCAACUGUCUUGGAAUCUGUUCAAUUGUGUUGUAAGUUCGGAACCUCUUCUAGAGUAUAGGCCGACCUUGCUUGAAUUGCCAUGCAAACUAAUGUGAUGGCAUAUUUUCUUUGUGUAUUUUUUCUUUUCUUUUUCAAGCAUGUGCCCAUAGUUUUGUACCAUCUAGAAUACAAGAUUACCACUUCAGUGAAUUGGCUUGGCACGAUGGUAUACUUGCCCAUUCCAAUGCUUAGCUUUUCUUCUUAAUGGGUGUUUAGCCACAAGAAAUCAACGAUGGGUUGUAUAAACAAUUUUUCUAUAGUGACGUAGAUACAAGCAUCUGUCUCAUCUAAACAAUGGGUGCAGACAUUGAAUCCAUUAUCCUAAUAGAUUUGAAUGUGCAGGCCAAUUGUUGAUGGUUAUGAAUAACAAAGCACAUCAUUAAAAGCCUUCUUGUGCUCGUCCCACAUACAACACCUUUGGACCACAAUUGUAAAAAGCUCAUCCACCAAUGGUUUUAGGUACGCAUCAAUGUUGUUAAUAGAUUGUUUUGGCCCUUCAAUAAGCAGCAGCAUCAUUAUGAACUUUUGCUUUAUACAUAGCCAGGGUAUACAUAUAUAGAGUCACAUGCUGAGGAUAUGACCACUGCCCUACUCGCUGAAAGGGUUCAUGCCAUCGGUGGUUAAACCAAACCUUACAUUUUUUGCAUCCUCUACAAACUCUAAGAAUGUUCUAUUAACUUUACACCAAUGUGAACCAUUACUCUCUUCUUUGUGCAACCACAUUAUCUUGGUGUGCUCUUUGUUACGAAACAAAUGUUUCAAUCGUGGUAUUAUAGGGAAGUACUGUUGGUCACUUGUUUUCAAUUGCUAUGAAUCAAAAACAAGGCAACACACACAUGUUAAACGUUAAGGACCUUCAUCCUUCGAAGCAUUAUCCUCUUUCAGAGAUAAUGACUCUUGUACGAAGGUCAUGAAGAAUGAGUCUUUAUUUUUCAUAAGUAUAAUAUUACAAUGUAACAUUAUAACAAUUACUUAUUUCAUCUCGCAUGCCAGGAUGAUGUUAAGGUAUGUAUUAUAUAUAUUAAUAAAGUGGUACAAAUUAUAUAUUACAUUUGUACCUUCGGCUUGCUCGAAAGAGAGAAUGCGAGUACAACUUUUCAAUCCAACGUGAAUAGUACGGGGUAAUAUUCAUCUAUUUAUAGGCAAGGGACGCAGCCCAAGCAGAAGUACAAUUAUGACCCUGAUAUCUACACAUUGCUCUAAUACAAAUAUCAAGGAUAAACAAGUCUUUUCCUUGCUGGCUUGGUGUCAUGUAUGACCUUCGUGACCAUCUUAAGUCGAAGCUCCAAUUCUUGUCGAAGCUUCGCUACAUUUUAUGCAUGUUUGUUGCAUCUUUGGCACUUAGUUCCUUUGAUUACAAAUAGUUUCUUCAUCCUAAGGACCUUCAGCAUAGAAGGAGACCCCCAAUAGUAGCCCCUUCGUGGUGCUAGGUCGUUUUUUUCAUAACGAGCUUGAUUCGCGAAACACACGAAGGCUUUUGAAUGCCGAAGGUCCAAAAACACCUUCUCAGUUAGUAUGAGCGGCGCGGCAGUAUGCCUUCUUCACAUGCAAGGCUAUAUAAAUAGGUUGGUUGGUAAGAAGUUAUUACAUCAUUCCUUGCUUUUGCACUGUUGUUGUUGGGGGUAUUCUUCUCCGCCGAAGGUCCUCAAGGAAAAAACACCUUCGACAAAAUGAUACAAAGGUUUGCCGAAGUCACCUUCAGCCUUGAUUUAGCUCCUCAAGACGAAGACUCUGUAUAGAGGCAACAAUGCAAGAUGUCGAAGGUCAAUGGCCUCAACCCAGAUCAAGCAAGGAAGAAAAAAGGACCAGAUAGGCCUUAUUGGUUUUAGUUACAUGUAAACAAGAGUUCAGGGGCAUGAAUGUAAUUUUAUCCGGACUGCGUCCCGUGACUAUAAAUAGAUGAAUAAUACCCCCGUACUGUUCACGCUGGAUUGUAAUCACUCUCGCGCCAUUUUCGCUCUCUUACCUUCUGGCAAGCCGAAGGUGUCAAUAUAAUAUGAAUAUUGUUUAUGUUUAUUCAUGUUUAUGGAAUAUAAUAAUAAAUGAAUAGUUGAUACAUAACAAUUAUUAUCUUCAUUUUUAUAUUCCUUCACUUGCUUAUUUGUAUUCAUGUUUAUAUGUUGAAAUGAUGAAGGUGUGUCCUUCAUGACCUUCGUCUGAAGACCAUUAUAUCUGAGAGGAAAUAAUGCUUCGAAGGACGAAGGUCUUUAACUAUUGACAAUUGUGUUGCCUUGUUCUUGAUUUAUAGUAUUCGAGAACAAGUGACCAACAUUGGCGCCCACCUCCGGUGAACUCACUUCCGCAACUGCGACAAUGGCUUCGCAAGGCAACCAAGCUGCGCCACCUUCGACUACGAAGCUGGCGCUCCCAAUCACAGGCGGCUCAAGUUCUGAACCAGCCAACAAGAAACAGAAGAAGGAAGCACAGAGAAGGGUACAACAUGUUGAUGUGCAAGGACCCUUCAUCAGGUCCAAAUGGUCUCACAUACCAAUUACCUUCUCUCAGGAAGACCUUCAGCUUUAAGAUUAUCCUCACAACGAUGCAAUGGUCAUAUCUUGUGUCAUCAAGGGAUUUUUGGUCCAUAAUGUCCUGGUGGUCACAGGCAAUGCAGCGAACAUCAUUUUCAUGAAGGCUUUCAAGCAAAUGCAAGAGCCGGAUGACAAGAUACAUGAUGCAACACCCCCCUUUGUGGUUUCGGAGGAAGACAGAUUGUAGCGCUCGGCAAGAUAACCAUGUCAGUUACCUUCGGCUACGUUCACCACACAAGGACAGAACAGGUUGUCUUCGACAUUGUUGAUAUGGAAUAUCCAUAGAAUGCAAUCAUUGGUCGAGGGACACUCAAUGCCUUCGAAUCAAUACUUCAUCCAGCAUAUCUUUGCAUGAAGAUACAUUCGGAACAAGGCCCCAUUGUUGUACAUGAGAGUCAAGAAGCUGCUAGGAGAGCCGAAGUAAGUUGGACGGAUUCGAAGGCCAUCCAUAAUAUAGAUGAGGCCGAAGCUCAUCAGCAAUAUAAGCAUAAAAGAGAAAAGGCUGCUUCGGCAGAUCAACCAAAGUCCAUGCUUUUGUGUGAAGACAUAGCUGAGCAAAAGGUGCUAUUGGGAUCUCAAUUAUCUGAUGAGCAAGAGAAGACCUUGCUAAGAUUUUUGUUUAAUAAUAAAGAUGUUUUUGCUUGGUCAGCUAAUGAUAUCUGUGGUGUCAAUAGAGAUAUUAUUGAGCACUCGCUCAACGUAGACCCGUCCUUCAGACCAAGAAAACAGAGGCUUCGGAAAAUGUCCGAUGAUAAAGCCGAAGGUGCACGAAACGAAGUGAAAAGACUUCUAAGUGCCGGCAUUAUCAGAGAAGUGACAUACCCAGAGUGGCUGGCCAAUACCGUCAUGGUAAAGAAAGCAAACAGAAAAUGGAGAAUGUGUAUUGACUUUACAGAUCUCAAUAAGGCAUGCACGAAGGAUGAAUUCCCACUUCCAAGAAUAUAUUCCCUUUGCAAGUAUCUUCAUCCUCUGCUGAAGCUAGAGUUAUUGCUUCAUCGCCAAAUAGAAGUUUAAACGGAGUGAAACCCGUUGAUCUUGAAACCACAUUAUUGUGAUUCCACACCAGCUUUACUAAUUCAUCUGGACACUUUCUCUUUGGCAGAUUAAAGAUUGACCUCAUUAUUCCUUUGAUAAUGAUUCCAUUUGAUCGCUCUACUAAGUCGUUGGACUCUGGAUGUCUUACCAAUGCGAAAUGUAUCUUUGUUCUAAUUUGAUCACAGAAAGUUUUAAAUCUUCGGAGCGAAACUGUGCUCCAUUAUCAACUGUGAUGGCCUUCGGCACCCCAAACCGGCAGAUGAUAUUUUUCCAGAAAAGUUUCUAGAUUGUGGCUGAUGUUAUUAUAGCUAGUGGUUUAGCUUCGAUCCAUUUUGAGAAAUACUCCACUGCUACUACAACAUAUCUCAUAUUUCCUUGGGCUGGUGGAAGUGGUCCUAAUAAAUCUAAUCCCCAUCUCUGUAAUGGCUAAGUGGGCUGAAUUAGUUGUGUUAGAGAUGAAGGUUGCUUUUGAUCCCUGGCACACUCCUGACAAUUCUCACAUUUUUGCACUAGGUCUGCUGCAUCCAAAGCAGCCUUCGGCUAAUAGAAACCUUGUCUAAAUACCUUGCCUAAGAGUGGCCUGAAUCCAAUAUGUGCUUCACAUAUUCCUGAUUGUAUUUCUUUCAUCAACUCUUGACCUGCGACUUUGGAUAAACAUUUCAGCAAUGGGGAGCAGACCCCUUGUUUAAAAAAUUCCCCUUCUAUAAUCAUAUAUGGUCUUGUUCUGGCCUGCAUCCUUUUUAUGUAAACCUCAUCAUCCGAAGGGUGAUUGCCCUGGAGGAAGGAUAUAAUUUCUGUUCUCCAAUCUUUGCUAUGCGCAGGCGAUAUUGUGAGUACAACCCUUUCCAUGAGCUCAAAUGAAGGUGCUUUGAGAGUUUCGAAGAACACUUCUGGGGGGAGCGGGAGCCCCUGUGUUGCUGAUUUAGCUAACAAGUCUGCUUGUUCAUUAUCCCCUCUUGGGAUAUUUUUACUGAAAAUCCUUUGAAGGAGGCUUCCAUCCUUCGGACUGUGUCAAGAUAUUUUUCGAGUUUUGGGUCCUUUACCUUGCUGCUUUUGUCAACAUGACCUGUAAUUACUUGGGAGUCAGAUUUGAGUAUUGCUCUUCUUAUUCCCACGGUUUUAAGCUUUUGAAGCCCUAAUAGCACUGCUUCAUAUUCUGCAAUGUUGUUUGUGCACUUGAAUUCCAGCCUAGCAGCAUAGCAGAUUCUUAUUUUUAAUGGUGAAAUCAAAACAAUUAUUGCGCCUGCGCUGAAGGUUCCGCAUGAGCCAUCAUAGAACACUGUCCAAGCUUCUUCAUCUAUCAAGUGUCCUUCUUUGUGAGCCCCUGGCAUUCAAUCAGUAAUGAAGUCUGCUAGUGCUUGAGAUUGAAUCGAAGAUCGGUGGACAAAGUCAAUAGUGAAUUCAUUUAGCUCUGUGGCCCAUUUGCCAACCCUUCAUGUGCUUCUCUAUUUCUUAUGAUGUCUUUCAAGGGUUGGGACAAAGGUACUAUUAUAUGAUAAGAUUGAAAAUAAUGUCUGUUGGGGGUCUGCUUCGUCGCCGAAGGUCCCAUAAGAAGAAACACCUUCGGAAGAAUGACACAAAGCCGAAGCUAUUAAUCAGAGAGCUUCGGAGUACAUUUCCAAAUGCACCGACUUAAAGAUGAAAUGACCAAUCGACCCGUGAUGACUUGUAUUAUGAUUGUAAACCUUUGUAAAGGGCAUGAAUGUAAUUUCUCACAGGCUGCGUCCUGUGCCUAUAAAUAGGUGAACAGUACCCCUGUACUGUUCAUGCGAUCUUGUAUUCGCUCGUGCGCAACGCUUGGAUUUUUUGCCUUCUAUCAAACCGAAGGUAUAAAUGUGAUUAAAUAUUGUAUUUAAAUACUUGAAUUCAUGUAAUGAAGAUAUGUGAAUAAUGCUAUAUGAUUGUUCAUGUUAUCUUUCAUGUUUCAUAUGCUUUGUCUUUCAUUACCACUUAUCAUGAUGAUGAAGGUACGUCCUUCAUGACCUUCGUCCGAAGAUCGUUAUAUCCUAAGGGAAAUAAUGCUUCCAAGGACGAAGGAUAUUAACCUUUAACGCUGUGUUGCCUUGUUCUUGAUUCAUAGCAUUUGAGAACAAGUCCCCAACAUUGGCUCCCACCUCCGGUGAACUCACUUCCACUGAUUGAGCUGAUGGCUUCGUUCAACAAUGAAGCUGAAGUAGCUUCGGCUAUGAAGAUGGUGCUCCCGAUAACAGGCGGUUCAUGUUCAGAACCGGCCAACAAGAAGCAGAAGAAAGAGGCUCAGAGAAGGGUGCAGCAUGUUGGGGUGCAGGGACCCUUCAUCAAGUCAAAAUGGUCCCACAUCCCAAUCACCUUCUCCCAGGAGGACCUUCAGCUCAAGGAUUACUCUCACAAUGAUGCUAUGGUUAUAUCUUGUGUCAUCAAGGGAUUUCUAGUCCAUAAUGUUCUGGUUGACACAGGCAGUGCAGCAGAUAUCAUAUUUGCUAAGGCCUUCAGACAGAUGCAAGAGCCAGAGGACAAGAUUCAUGAUGCUACACACCCUCUUUGUGGCUUCGGAGGAAGGCAGAUCGUAGCACUUGGCAAGAUCACAAUGCCAGUGACCUUCAGAUUUGUCCAUAACACAAGGACUGAACAGGUUGUGUUUGAUAUUGUUGACAUGGAAUACCCCUACAAUGCAAUUAUUGGACGUGGGACACUUAAUGCUUUCGAAGCAAUUCUUCAUCCAGCAUACCUAUGCAUGAAGAUACCUUCGGAACAAGGGUCUAUUGCAUUUCAUGGAAGUUAGGAAGCUGCCAGGAAGGCUGAGGGAAAUUGGACAGACUCAAAAGAUUCAACAACAAAUAUGUUUUUGCAUGGUCGGCCAAUGAUCUCUAUGGUGUCAACAGGGAUGUCAUUGAACAUUCACUCAAUAUUGAUCCAUCCUUCAGGCCCAGGAAGCAAAGGCUUCGGAAAAUGUCUGAUGAUAAAGCCGAAGGUGCUCGGAAUGAAGUAAAAAGACUUCUCAGUGCUGGUGUCAUGAGAGAAGUAAAAUAUCCAGAGUGGCUAGCCAAUACUGUUAUGGUGAAGAAGGCUAAUGGCAAAUGGAGAAUGUGUAUUGAUUUCACAGAUCUCAAAAAGGCCUAUCCGAAGGACAAAUUUCCAUUACGAAGGAUACUCUCUUGUGGAUGCAGCAGCUUCUUCAGAACUUAUGAGUCUUCUGGAUUGCUACUCAAGAUAUCAUCAAAUAUGGAUGAAGAAGGAGGAUGAGCCGAAGACUAGCUUCAUAACUCCCAGUGGAACCUAUUGCUAUCUUCGGAUGCCUGAGGGGCUCAAAAAUGUUGGAGACAGUUUCAGCAGGAUGACGGCCAAGGUCCUUAAUUCCCAGAUAGGCAGAAAUGUGCUAACAUACAUUGAUGAUAUCAUAGUAAAAAGCACGAAGCAAGAAAAUCGUAUCACUGAUCUGCAAGAAACAUUUGCUAAUUUCAGACAAGCUGGCCUGAAAUUAAAUCCUGAAAAAUGUGUCUUUGGAGUGAAGAAGGGCAAGUUCGUUGGCUGUCUGGUUUCGACGAAGGGGAUUGAAGCUAACCCAAGCAAGAUCGAAGCUAUCCUUCGAAUGGAACCACCGAGCAGAAAGAAGGGGGCCCAACGGUUGGCAGGAAGAUUGGCUUCAUUGAAUAGAUUUAUAUCUAGAUCAGCAGAAAGAAACUUGCCAUUCUUUGUAAUACUAAAGUCAGCCGAAGUCUUUCAAUGGGGCCCAGCUCAGCAGAAAGCCUUCGAAGAGCUGAAGCAAUACUUGAUUGAUAUAACAACAUUAACUCCACCCGCGCCAGGGGCUCCGUUACUAUUAUAUGUGGCAGCUUCGCACUCUGCAAUGAGUGCGGUGCUUGUGCAGGAGAAAUUAGAAGGACAAAUCAAAAAGCAAGCCCCAGUAUACUUUGUCUCCGAAGUUUUAAGCUUCUCAACGAAAAAUUAUACAGAAUUGGAGAAGGUGUUGUAUGCUGUCUUAAUGGCCUCUAGGAAGCUUCGACAUUAUUUUCAAGCAUUCCAUAUAAUUGUUCCUUCGUCACAGCCUCUGAAGGACAUCAUGAGGAACAGAGAAGCUACUGGAAGGAUUGGAAAGUGGGCUGUGGAACUCAACAAAUUCAGUAUUGAUUAUGUGCAUAGAUCCUCGAUUCAGUCCCAGGCGCUAGCAGACUUCAUCGCUGACUGGAUGCCAGGGGCUCAGGAAGAAGAAGCAAAUAAAGAUGUCGAAGCUUGGACGGUGUUCUGCGACGGUUCUUGGGGAACCUUCGGGGCAGGUGCGGCUGCUGUCUUAGUUGCACCUUCUAAAGUCAGAACAUGCUAUGCAAUAAAGCUUGACUUCAGCUGCACAAAUAAUAUUGCUGAAUACGAAGCUUUGCUUUUGGGGCUUUGGAAGUUAAAAGCAAUGGGGAUAAGAAGGGCGGUCCUUAAAACCGAUUCCCAAGUUAUUUCUGGUCAUGUUGACAAGAGUUGCAGGGCAAGAGACCCGAAGCUUGAGAAAUACCUGGACACAGUUCGAAGGCUUGAAGCUUCUUUCGAAGGGUUUUCUGUCAAGAAUAUUCCACGAGGAGAAAACGAGCACGCUGAUCUGCUAGCCAAGUCAGUGGCACAGGGGCUGCCUCUACCUUCGGAAGUAUUCUUUGAGACAAUAAGAGCACCUUCGGUGGAACUUCUCGAAAGAGCAGUACUCACUAUAUCUCAUGUUCAUAGUGAAGAUUGGAGGACUGAGAUCAUAUAUUUCCUCCAAGGUAACAGCCUUUCAGAUGACGAAGCUUAUAAUAAGAGAAUGGAGGCAAGAACAAGACCAUAUGUAAUAAUAGAAGGAGAGUUAUACAAACAUGGAGUCUGCUCUCCACUUCUUAAGUGCGUAUCCAGAACCGAAGGUAUAGAGCUGAUGAAGGAAAUACAUGCAGGCUUGUGUUGAUCUCACAUUGGAUCUAGACCUUUGUUGGGGAAGGUCUUCAGACAAGGAUUUUAUUGGCCGAAGGCAGCUUCAGAUGCAACGGAUCUGGUUCAAAAAUGCGAAAAUUGUCAAAAAUGUGCAAGAGACCAGAAACAACCUUCGUCGCUAACCCAUUUAAUACAACCAACUUGGCCAUUGCAAAGAUGGGGCCUGGAUUUAUUAGGUCCACUUCCACCAGCACAAGGCAAUUUAAGAUAUGUUGUAGUGGUUGUGGAGUAUUUUUCCAAGUGGAUUGAAGCAAAGCCUUUGGACACAAUAACUUCGGUCACAGUCCAGAAAUUCUUCUGGCAAAACAUUGUUUGUCGCUUCGGCGUACCGAAGGCUAUCACUGUAGAUAAUGGAACAUAGUUCGAUGCCGAAGCUUUCAAGGAAUUCUAUGAUCAGAUUGGCACGAAGAUUCAUUUUGCAUCGGUCAGACACCCAGAGUCAAAUGGACUUGUCGAAAGAGCAAAUGGUAUUAUAAUGACAGGAAUAAUGAAGUUAAUUUUUAAUCAACCCAGAGGAAAGUGGCCAGAAGAGUUGAUUAAAGUGGUGUGGAGCCACAAUACAACUGUAUCAAGAUCAAUAGGUUUUACACCAUUUAAGUUGUUAUUUGGUGACGAAGCUAUAACCCCAGAAGAAGCUAAAGCGGGGUCAAUAAGAACAACAGCUUCGACUGAAGACGAAGCUGAUUAUCAUGUGGCAAAAGACACUAUAGAAGGGGUCAGACUUCAGGCUGUGGAAAAUAUAAAUAAAUAUCAAGCCGAAACAAUAAAAUGGCACGACUGAAAAAUAUCAAGCCAGGGCAUCUGGUGCUUCGAAGAGUGGCUAAUCUGGACACAGUAGGCAAGUUACAGCUGAAGUGGGAAGGACCCUUCCUGGUGGUAUCUUCGUCAAGACCUGGUUCUUACAGAUUGAAGGAUAUGGAUGGCAACGACAUUCCUAGAUCUUGGAAUGCGGAUGAGCUUCGGCGAUAUUAUGUAUAGCAUGAUGUAAUUUUUUCAUUUUUCCUAUGGCACCCUUUUCCUUUCCAAAGGGGGAGAAAGGUUUUUAAUGGGGCCAUAGUUUGUAAAUUUUUCCUUUCUUAUUUAGCUCCAUGAGAGCAAAAUCCCCCAAAAUAUGUAAAUGUAAAAUCUAAGCAUGCACCAUCGAGUGCAAAGAAAAAGAGAAAACAGGGAGAAGCUCGAAAGUCGUCCCUAAGGGGAUGCAGAGCAUGACGAAGCUACAAAAAGCCGUUCCUAAGGGAGCGCAGCGUAAGUUUUCUGCUCAAAAGUCAUUCCUAAGGGAAUGCAGAGCCAAAUACCGCCGAAAUAUAAGGCGAAGCGCGAAAAGUCAACGCGAAUACCGCCGAAAUAGAAAGCGAAGAAGUUCAAAAGACGUUCCUAAGGGGAUGCAGAACUUACACCGAAAAAUAAGCGGUGCAGCCGAAAAAUAAACGACAAAGAGAUUCCAGUCAUUCCUAAGGGAAUGAAGGUUGUCGAUGAAGCUUCGAAUGUGUGUGUUUCGGCAUUCAUUUGCACAAUACAUUACAUCAUACAUUGCAUUCAUAAACAUUCAUUUAGACAUACAUAGGAUCAUCAUCAUAUCAUACAAAUACAGACAGUUGCUUCGAUUCUAAGCAUACAGCUUCAAGAAGCAGAUUCAUGCUUCAUUGUGUACGAAAAGAAGGGAAGGUGUUUUUCGCCUUCGGCUCAAAAAUACAGGUUUCGACCACAUCAAAGCAUUUCAUACAUCGAUGGAAAGGUAAAAAUAUAUUACAAGAUAUGAAUAAAUUUACAGAGUACAAUCUAAUUCUUAAGUUACAAUAUUCUUUACAAGGGUUAAUACAAAAGUUUUCUUAGAAUUUUUUCCACAGCUAGGUAUUCGAGCUUCAUCAUCAUCUGUUGAGCUUCGGAUUGCCUGCUAAGCUUCAGCUCUGUGUUCUUCGGCUUCGUCAUCCUCUACAUAUCAAAACAUUAUAAGGAAAAUUCAAGUUUCAAGGAAAAGGUAAACACAAUGUAUGAUUUUAUUACCGGCUUGAGAUGACUCCGAGCUUCGUCACCAGCUAGGCUUCGUCCAUAUUUGCUUUAUGAAUCUGUUUCCUAUGCUUCGAGCUAGGCUAGGGAUAUCAAUCAGAUCUGCUGGUGAUAAGCUGAAGUUUGGUCUAUUAACAAUUUUCCCAUGCGUGCAACCAGACUUCAUGAAGGCAACAGUUGUGCCCCGAGAAGCUAGCAGGGCACAGAAAUCAUCGUGUCCCGCUAUGACUUCAUCAAGAGCAUCAACUUCGCCCUCAAUGUGUUCGAAGGUCCCGGGCAGGUCUUCAACCGAAGGACUGAAUUUCUCAGAACUGGCUCCAACCGAGUUGAAGACAUGUUUUAGCCGCUGCACGCAUCGGUUGCUGAACUCUAGACAUUUAUCUUGAAGCUCUUUCAAUGAUUUUUGCAAAUUUGAACUUUUUCGACCUCAGCUUCAAGCUUCGUAUCAAAUUUCUGCUUUUCUUGUUCGAAGCUUUCUGAUUUUGAGAGAAGCUCAUUAUCCAACUUUGCAAUUUUGGCUUCAGCUUCUGCCAGUAAGCCUUCCAUUGUCUGAAGUUCGAAAUCUUUCUUUUCAAGAGCAGCUGCCUGAUCUUUUAUUUUGUUUUCUAAACUUUCAAUUAUAACUUCAUGCUUUUUAUCUUCAAGGUCCUGUUGCAUCCUCAAAGCUUUACUCAAUAACAUAAUCUGUACAGAAGCAACCUUCGUUAGUGUCGGUGUUUUGGGUCCGACCGCACACCCGGGGUUGCCCCCUCAAGGUGUUUUUAGGAGUAGGACGGUGUCGACGACUGUAGCAAAAUGGUUCGUGCCGAUCGCACGAGGGACAAUGAACAAGAUUUGCAGGUUCGGGCCGCUUGGAAGUGCGCAACACCCUACGUCCUGGUGAGUAUAUGAGCGUGGUUACAAGAGGAUUCUCUGGAUAGAGGGCGCAGAGAGUUUUUGUGGGUGGCUAAGUAGAAUAGGGUCGAUCGUUCUGAAGGGGUGCCCCCUAGGCCUUAUAUACUCGACCGUGGGGCAGUACAUGUGAUAUGAUAACAACAAGUAGCUAAAAGAUAGUGAACCUCUUGAGUUUAUCCCUGCGUAACCCUCGCCGACUUAUCCUCGCAUGGCUGCGCUGCAUGGGGGCUUCAGCGCGGGAAAGUCGGGUCUCUGUUGCGAUUCAUUCGUUCGACGUUGUGGGCUGUCCGGGUCUCACGUCUUCUCUUCUUUGUUGGUUGUUUUUCCCUAGGCCCACGAAGGAAUGACCUUACGAAUUAUUGGGCCCUUGGGCCUUUCGUGAGGCCUUUUACUUCUUUAGUGGACCCAGGGGAUAUCUAUCCCCCACAAGCCCCCGAUCUUUGGGUUGAUUUAGAGGUAAUCAACCCAAAGAUCCAAGGUCCAAAAAAUGACUUCCUGCUGUCUUCUUUGACUCUGAUCGCUCGUCCGACCAAAGUUUGGUUUUGUGCUUGUGCCUUAGAGGUCGGCAUUUUUGGGUUGUAAGACCCUGGACUUUAUUGGGUGCACCGGAGGUGCACCCAAUGGGUGUAGCCCCCGACCUUCAAAUGGAUUUUUUAAGGAUAAUCCAUUCGAAGGUCUUUCUUUCGUUUGUGGAAACUGGCAUGAGGCUAUUUUGCAUUAUGCUUUAGAGGUCAGCAUUAUGUCAUCAAUAUUUUGUUGCAAAGGUCAGCGUAUAUUUUGUCUUUAGCAGCCGAGUUCGCGAUCCAUCCAUAUCUUGCUAGGUAGUGCAAUUUAUUUGCUUCUGCGAUUGAUUGGACGUCUGACAGACGUUCUCUGUCUAGUCUUCACGUCGUUUCUGUCGGCCAUAUCUUGUACUUUGCUGGUAAUAUUUGGCUUUCCUCUGAUCCUUACUGAUAUCUCAUUUUUGUCUUGAGGUAUUCACUGCAUGCUCUGCACGGAUGUGACCGUUUGAAAAAUGUACUGAUAAUUCCUGGGCGUCCCCCCCAAUGGGUGUGGGCAAGGGACGGCUUGGUACGCUGAGUGUUUUAGCCGGUUGCCUCUGAGUAGUAAUGCGAUGGGACGGCUAGUGUAAUCAUAUCCUUUGCGCUGUUGACUGGAGUCCCAAUGGGUGUAGUGUUGCAUGAAACGGCGUCCGCCGUCUGACGUGUCUUCAGAUGGGUGGAAGUGCUUAUUGGAUGCCUUGCGACUGUUCAGUGGCCGCGGUUAGAAGUGAGCGGUUGCCUUUCCCUUCUAUAAAUAACCCCUUUGCUUUUCUGGUUUCUUCACAUCUCUUCGCUGCUCCUUACUGCCUCUUCCCUUUCUUCUCUCCCAAAGCUUCAGCCAUGGGCAAGAACAACAAGCGCAAGCAUGAGCCGACUCCUCCAUCGGAGGAGUUUGGUGAUUCGGAAUACUCAGAGGAGGAGUUCUCCUCUGAGUCCGAGGGGUCUCCGGCUCCCAUCCCCCUGCGUGAGUCGUCUGACGACUCAGACGACUCCCAGGGGCUUGCGGCGGAGGUCUGGACGUACAUCCGGGCCGUCGAGCGCUCCGGGCUCGAAGGCUCGGAUGAGUCGGAGUACUCCUCGGAUGAGGAGGACUCGGACGGCGGUGACGAGGGUGAAGACGACGACGACGACGACGACGACGACGACGGCGACGGUGACGGCAGCGGCAGUGGCAGGGGCGGCGGCGACGGCGACGGCAGCAGGGACAGCACCUAGGGCGACAGCAGCAGGGGCAGCACCAAGGGCAGCAGCAGGGGCAGCACCAAGGGCGGCGGCGGCAGCAGGGGCAGGGCCAGUGGCUAGACGCCACUGGUCUUCUUAGAUAUUAGUAUAGUUUAGUAUAGCUAGAAUAAUGUAGUAGUAAUUAGUGUAAUUUAGUAGUAGUAGUAAUGUAGAGUAGUAUAUUGUAGUUUAGUAGUAGUAGUAAUGUAGAGUAGUAUAUUGUAGUUUAGUAGUAGUAGUAAUGUAGAGUAGAAUUAGGGAAGUACCAACUCGUGAAGAGUUGGUUUGUAAACUCGUAAACUUCCUUUUAAAUGAAGACUGUCGUUUAUCCCCUCUUUUUGAUGACUUGUCCUUGCUUUUGCCGAAUGUUGAACUGAUUCUUUUGAUAUAGUGGAAACAACGCCGAGCGAUGUGAAGAUUGACAUCAGCGUUUUAGAAGUAACACUGAGCAAUCGAACACAAGACCAGCGUUUUAGAGGCAAUGCCGAAUGAUAGAAGGUCGGCAUCGGCAUUUUAGAAGUAAUGCCAAGCGACAAAAUACGGGGCCGGCAUUUUAGAAAUAACGCCGAGUGAUUGAAUGUCGGCGUCAGCAUUUUAGAAGUAAUGCUGAGCGUUUGAACACGUGGUCGGCGUUUUAGAGGUAACACCGAGUGAUUGAAGAUCGACAUCGGCAUUUUAGAAGUAAUGCCGAGCGAUUGAACACGUGGUCGGCGUUUUAGAGGCAGCGCCGAGUGAUAGAAGGUCGGCAUCGGCAUUUUAGAAGUAAUGCCGAGCGAUUGAACACGUGGUCGGCGUUUUAGAGGCAGCGCCGAGUGAUUGCCCGUUUCUUAAGUUACUUUGAGGAAAAUGACCGAGUGAUGAGGUGGCACAUUGGCUUUCUUGGAAAUAACUGUUGGAUAUCCACGUGGCAUGCUGGGAUUUCGGAGAUGACCGCCGGGUGAUGACUGGGCACUUUUGAAAAGGUAUCUGGCUCAAGAAUAUCCCUUAAGAGUCGCGCUUUUAGCCGCCUUUGCUUUCCGUGCCCUAGUUCUUGCAUUUCCGCAUCUGAAUCUUCUCUGCCACUCGCCUCCCACUCUGUUUCGCCAGCGAGAAGCAAGAUGGCGCCCAAGAGGAAGACUACGAACUCGUCUGCCGCAGUGAUCCCCGCCAUCGACCCCAACAGUCAGUUACCCUUUGCAGGUAACCAUAUGUCUGUAAUUUCUGAAGUUGAGCUUCUCCGCCUUGUCUCCAUCGGGGUUCUCCCUCCACGGGAACUCUGUUCUUGGCGGGCUUGCCGCGGGACUACUGUCCCAACCGAAGAUACCCACGAGUCAGUGGUUUACACUCCUUUCCUUCUUCGCGGCCUCGGCCUUCCCAUAUCUCCUUUUUUCCGUGGCAUCCUUGAUUUUUAUCACAUCAACCUGACUCACUUGAACCCUAACUCCAUUCUCCAAAUCUCUAUUUUCGUUCACCUUUGUGAAGCUUAUCUCGGCGUGCUGCCGCAUUUUGGUUUAUGGAAAUAUCUGUAUCACUGCCGCCCUGGGAUGGCCGGGGGGCAACAUCAGUUGGUCGGAGGUGCAAGUUUAGAGAUGCGCCGUGGGCGGAAGACCGAGUAUCUCGAGAUACCCCUCAAAGACAGCAUUAAAGGUUGGCGUCUGGAGUGGUUUAUAAUGGAUAAUUAUGGAAAUUCUCUCCCUUCCCGCUCAGGAAGACAGCCAGACGUUCGUACUCCAAGUUGGACUGAGUCUCCCACGGAUCGAGAAGUGGCCGAGGCAGGCGUGUUGCUUACUGAAGUUGGAUUACUGAAAGAGAGAGGUCUGACUGCCGAAGCUGUGGUCACAGAUUUUGUCUUCAAAAACAUUCAGCCGCUGAAAGACAGGGCCUAUCCGGCAUAUCUUUACCGAGGGCUGGCCGACUCAACCCGAGUUACCAAUAGGAGAAUUCCUUCUGCUGAUUUGGUGAGCCGACUCGAAAUGAUCCUCAGGGGUAAAGUUUCAAACGUUGGUGCUCCAGUGGCAUACUCGGCUUGGAACCUGCCUUCUCCCAAAGAUUUCACUCUUUUUGUGUCCAAUCCGCCCGUGACAGAUAGCAAUUUGGGUCUUAGAGUGCGACCCUCUGCUGAAGAGGUCCGUUCCUUAGUUGCUUCGCUCGGGGAGAUACCUGAUGAUGAACGGCAGAUUUAUUUUGAAGUGCCCCUGAACCCUAGUGAUGCAGACAUAAAUGACAUGCUCGAUCUGCUAGCUGAGGAUUCAUCUGAUACUGCUCCGGAUGGCACAUUGGCAGUGGUGCCCCUUCCAGAGGUUGAUGCGACCUUGGAUGUCUCGAAACCUGUCAAUACUCGCCCGAGGCGUCCUAGCCGAACUAGUCAGCCCGAGCCUUCUGCUGAUGAGCAGAAGAAGAAAAGAAGACGCCUCCGGCGAGUGUCCAGCUUUGACGAGGAUGCCAGCACCUUAGCUCCUGCUGCCGAAGAAAUGACUGCAACUGGCCUUGCUGACAUUGAUCCCAAUGGGUGUGCUCCGCCUGCUGCUGACCCCAAUGAGGAUGCUGUUUGUGCUGUUGCUGUGGAAGAUGAGGAGGAAGAGAAUGAAACUCCAUUAACUCGGAAAAAUAGUCGGCAGAUCGUCGCUAGCGGUGGUAGUAGUGGGGUUCCUUCUCCUGCCUUGUCUGCUCUUAUUGGUCUGCAAGAACUGUCCAUGGCCAAUUUUGAUCAAGCUCUAGAGGAUAUGGUCCCUGAGAACUUGUUGUUGGAAUCUGCAGACGUUGAUGCAACAGAAACUUGUGCAGCUGUGCCAGAUGCUGGGUUGAGGUCGUCCCGUGCCUCGUCGACCUUAGAGCACGAUCUCGAGGGUCGGGAUGAUGACUUGGAUCGUCCUGAUCCUACGGAAGUAGCUGAGGGCCCGUCAACCUUAGAGGUGGUCACGGCAGAGAGCUCGGAUCCCUUGAAUAGUGCUGACACGUGCCCAGCCCCCGAGGGUGUCGCCGGGGAGGACUCAGCUCAGGUGAGGAGUGUAGGCCACUACCCAGCCCCCGAGGGUGUUGCCGGGGGUGACCCGGCUCGAGUGGGCAGUGCCAACCUUGACCCAGCCCCCGAGGGUGUCCGAGCGAGGUCUCCCUCCUGCACUUCCAUGGAUGUUCAUGUGGGUUCACCUCCACACUCUGGCGGCAUGAUGGUGGCUCAAACUCCGGAUCAGGGGGUCGCUUUGGAGGGCAGCAUCCCCACUGGUCUGGCGUUAAGCUCUGCUGAAUGUACUGAGAUCGUUCCUGCUGGUCUGCUGCAAGCUGCUUCGAGUGGUGGUCUGGCACCUGGUCAUCAGCUGAUUUCUCCUGACUUGGGGAUCCCUUCGCUUUUUUCCAACCUCCAGGUGCUGUGCUGUGCUUUAGUUUGAUCUUUAUGUUGCAUGAAUUGUCGCCAUUAUGCUCAUCCGCUCUUCUUAUCAGGCUUUGGUGGAUGGAAUGGUCGGCCAGCUGAAGUCGCAGGGUGCUUCCAUCCCGGAGGUGGCUUCAUCUCUUGAGCGUUGGAAUCCGGUGUUGCUUCGGGGUCGUGUAUCUGAGUUGGAGGCCACUAAUGCUGGUUAGUGUCCUUUCUUCUUCUUCUUUGUUCUUGCCCGUGGGUUGUUUUACCUUCUGACCUCAUUUUGCUUGAAUACCUCUUGAUAGGGAUGACUCGGCAGAUCACAGUUCUUGAAGAAAAACAUUCCCAAGAUCAAGCUGAAAUGGCUCGACGAUGCGCUGACUUCGAGGAGAAGUAUUCUCAAAGUCAGAUCGAGUUGAGUCAGGUCUCUGCAGCUUUGGAUGAUGCCAACGCCCUGAGUUCUUCCCUUCAUGCUCAGCUUGACUCUGAGAAGGUAGCUUGCGAACCCGUGCUUCGCCUUAUCAUGCUCUUGGAUUCUGAAUGAGUUGAUUUUUGCUUGUAGGAAGAAAAACGCAUCCUUGCUGCUUCUCGCGACAACUUGGACAGAUUGUACCGAGAUUCCAGCAACUCGCUGACCAUCUUGGAGAGGAGCCACCGUUUUACGAUGGAGGAGCUUGACAACCAGCGCCGUCAACUGCAAGAAUCCUCGGAUGAAGUGGCCCGCCUUACACAGUUGCUAUCGGCAAAGGACGCCACCAUCAAGGGACUCCGAGCUUCUAAGAAAUCCAUUGCUCAGGAGUUAGAAACCGCUCAGCAGGCUGUUAAAGUUGCUGAAGAAGCUGCUGUCACUUUCAAAGCUCAGCGCGAUAAGGCCCUGGACAAAGCCAUUCGGGCGGGACGAAUCUUGAUGAGAAGACCCGGCGUGGUUGUCCCUGAAGAUAUAAGAGCCGAUGUGAACGCUGCCCCUGAUUCCUCGAAUCGCCCUUCUUCAUCGGUCGUUCCUGAAAGAGACAUUGGAAAAUAAAGAAACAGUUCGCGUGCUCUGAGCGCGCAGUUAGCAUGAUCAAGUACUCGUUAGAGGUUAUCGGCUUAUCAUUCGAGUAACGUGAUUACUCCCUUAUUGUAUCAGAAUUUAUUAGUUUGCAAGCUUGUGGUAACGCUGCACGAUGAUUAUGAAAUUUGUUUGUGGGAUAUGGAGAUCAUCCCUUGAACUGCAUAAGCGCGAGUAUGCUAUACUGGUUUAAGCCGUCAGUGACUUUUAGCCGGUAACUUCCGUUAGUCGGGUAUAGUGGUCACCCCGAGUUAAGUAAGCGUGAGCAUGUUGCACCGCCUUAAGUCGUUGCCGACUUAAGUCGAUUGCUCCGUUUGUAGGGCAUAGUGGUCACCCCGAGUUAAGUAAGCGUGAGCAUGUUGCACCGCCAUAAGUCGUUGCCGACUUAAGUCGAUUGCUCCGUUUGUAGGGCAUAGUGGUCACCCUGAGUUAAGUAAGCGUGAGCAUGUUGCACCGCCUUAAGUCGUUGCUGACUUAAGCCGAUUGCUCCGUUUGUAGGGCAUAGUGGUCACCCCGAGUUAAGUAAGCGUGAGCAUGUUGCACCGCCUUAAGUCGUUGCCGACUUAAGUCGAUUGCUCCGUUUGUAGGGCAUAGUGGUCACCCCGAGUUAAGUAAGCGUGAGCAUGUUGCACCGCCUUAAGUCGUUGCCGACUUAAGUCGAUUGCUCCGUUUGUAGGGCAUAGUGGUCACCCCGAGUUAAGUAAGAACGUAAGUCAAUCAUAAAUGAGCCAAGUAUCUUUGAAAUCUCUCUUUAUUGAUGACGUAUUUCCAUUAUACAGAAUACAUGGUCGCUCCGACUGUUUUGAAAUACAGCUAGGGGUAGAACUUUCGGAGGUGCUCUAUGUUCCAGGAGUUCCCAACUUCCGUGCCAUCCAUUUGGGUGAGGCGAUAUGAUCCGGGACGAGUGACUUCUGCUACUAUGAAAGGUCCUUCCCAUAAGGGUGAUAACUUGUGCCGUCCCUCCCCCGUUAGAAUUCGGCGGAGGACGAGGUCUCCCAUCGAAAAGAAACGUUGCCGCACAGCUUUGUCGUGGUAGCGCCUUAGAGUCUGCUGGUAUCGUGCUGAUUGAAUCACUGCAUUCAGUCGUUCUUCCUCAAGUACGUCAAUAUCCUCCAGCCUAGUGGCUUCGGCUUCUGCUAUGCUUUCGAAGAUCAAUCUUGGCGCCCCAAACUUGAGAUCAGCAGGUAGCACUGCCUCCGACCCAUAGACCAUGAAGAAAGGAGUGUUUCCAUGCAGGGCCCGGCUAGGUUGGGUUCUCAAGCUCCAAACAACAUAAGGCAAUUCUCUUAUCCAUUUUCCUGCGAAUUUUUCAUUUUUAUCAAAGACCCUUUUUCUAAGUGCCUCCAAUAUCAUUCCGUUGGCUCGCUCAACCUGCCCGUUGGCUCUUGGAUGGGCUACAGAUGCAUACUUAAUCUGAAUGCUUUUUUGCUCACAGAAGUCAAAGAAUUCUGAACUGGUGAAGUUGGAUCCCAAGUCAGUGAUGAUACUGUUUGGUAUCCCAAAUCUAAAUAUUAUGCUUUGUAUGAAUUCCACGGCUUUAGCAGAGGUUAAAGAGGCAAUGGGCUGGAACUCUAUCCAUUUAGUGAAUUUGUCAAUUGCCACCAAUACAUGGGUGUAUCCUCCUUGAGCUUUCUUGAAAGGUCCAAUCAUAUCCAAUCCCCAGCAUGCGAAAGGCCAAGUUACUGGUAUGGUUUGUAGCUGCUGUGCUGGCAUGUGCUGUUGCUUUGACAGGUAUUGGCAAGCUUCACAUCUCUGAACUAACUUGGCUGCGUCAUUCUUCGCCGUCGGCCAAUAGAAUCCUGACCUGAAAACCUUCCCGACUAAUGUUCUGGAUGCUGCGUGUACUCCACACUGCCCUGCAUGGACUUCCUCCAGAAGUUUCUUCCCGGUGGACGGGAGAACGCACUUCAUGAGGACGCCUGACGCGCCCCUCCUGUAUAAUACCUCCCCAAUGAGUGUAUAGUGGGCUGAUUGUCUGGCAAUGCGCUCUGCCGAGUUCUUGUCAUCUGGUUCUUCUUCAUUCUUUAUAUACUUAAUAAUCGGCUGCCUCCAGUCAUCAGAGUCUGACUCGGGUUGAUCUAUGAUGUUGCACUCUUCUAUUUGACCCGUCGAGAUGCUCGGCUGGAGAAUUUCUUGCACGAAGACCCCGGGCGGGACUUGAGUCCGACCGGAUCCGAGCUUGGACAGUACGUCAGCCGCCGUGUUCCGAUCUCUCUCUAUAUGAUGAAACUCCAGACCUUCGAAUUUAUCUUCUAGCUUUCGUACGGCGGUGCAGUAUCUUCCCAUUGAAUCACUUGAACAAUCCCAUUCCUUGUUUAUCUGACUGAUGACUACCAGAGAAUCUCCGUACACCAUCAGUCUCUUGACACCCAGUGAUAUGGCGAUGUUUAAUCCGUGUAUCAAAGCUUCAUACUCGGCUGCAUUGUUAGAGGCCGGGAAUAGCAAUUGGAGAGCAUACUUGAGGUGCUCGCCUCCAGGUGCGGUGAAGAGAAUUCCUGCUCCUGCUCCCUGUAGCUUCAGCGAGCCAUCAAAAUACAUUCGCCAUACUUCUGCAGUUUCUGGAUUAUCCGGCACUUGCUGUUCUGUCCACUCUGAUACGAAAUCGACCAGUGCUUGAGUUUUGAUGGCAGUGCGAGGUCGGAACUCGAUAUCAUGGGAUCCCAACUCGCAAGCCCACUUGGCUAUUCGGCCAAUGGCUUCCUUGUUGUGAAGAAUGUCCCCUAUUGGAAAACCAGUAACUACUAUGACUUUGUGGUCGUCAAAGUAGUGGCGCAGCUUGCGGGCAGUCAGAAGUACUGCAUAUAAUAGCUUCUGAACUUGAGGAUACUUUUUCUUCGAUGGGCCUAGAACCUCACUGAUGAAGUAGACAGGAUGUUGUACCGGGUAGGCAUGCCCCUCUUCCACUCGCUCGACUACCAACGCGGUGCUUACCACGUGAGUCGUGCAAGAGAUAUAUAGCAGCAAAUCUUCAGCCGGCUGAGUCGGCGUAGCUCGCCGGGGCGGUCUCAAUACUGGCGGUGUUGUCAGGAAUUUCUUCAGUGCGUCUAGAGCUUCUUGUGCCUCUGAAGUCCAUUGAAACUUAUCCACCUUCUUCAAUAAUUUAUAAAAUGGCAGACCUUUUUCUCCCAGCCUGGAUAUGAAUCUGCUCAGGGCUGCCAUACAUCCAGUGAGUCGCUGAACCUUCUUUUGCGAUCGAGGAGCUUCCAUCUUCAUGAUAGCCUCAAUCUUAUCUGGAUUAGCUUCAAUUCCCCGGUGGCUGACAAUAAAUCCGAGUAACUUUCCUGCUGGGACCCCGAAGACGCAUUUCUCAGGAUUGAGCUUCCAUCUAUAUCUUCUCAGGCUGUUGAAAACCAGCUGUAAGUCUUCGAUGAAGUUUUCCGGAUUCUCCGUUUUAAUCACCACGUCGUCUACGUAAGCCUCCACAUGCUUGCCCCAGUGAUCGGCUAAGCAUGUUUGAAUAGCCCUCUGAUAAGUCGCUCCAGCGUUUUUGAGGCCGAACGGCAUGGAGGUAUAACAGAAAGCACCAAACGGGGUGAUGAACGCUGUUUUUUCCUCGUCUUCUUUUGCCAAACUAAUCUGAUGGUACCCGGAAUAGCAAUCUAAGAAAGACAGCAUCGAACAUCCAGCGGUGGAAUCCACCACCUGAUCUAUCCUUGGGAGCCCGAAGGGAUCCUUCGGACAGUGUUUGUUGAGAUCAGUAUAGUCGACGCACAUGCGCCAAUCCACUUUAUUCUUUUUGAGUACAAGAACAGGGUUGGCUAACCACUCGGGGUGUAAUACUUCUCUAAUAAAUCCAGCCGCGACCAAGCGAGCUAACUCGGCACGAAUGGCUUCUCUCUUGUCGGGCGUGAAACGACGCAGCUUUUGCCGGAUCGGCCUCGCCUGAGGAUAGACUUUCAAUUUGUGCUCGGCCAACUCCCUCGGGACUCCCGGCAUAUCCGCAGGUUGCCAUGCGAAUACGUCUCGGUUAUCUUGCAGGAACUGGACGAGCGCGCUUUCCUAUUUGUCAUUUAAACUGGAGUUGAUGAUGGCCGCCUUGCGCUCAUCAGCAAACCCCAGGUUGAUCCGCUUGGUGUCUUCAGUCGGCCGCAUAGAGGUCGCGGCCUGGGCUUCGUUUGCCGGCACGGCGAGGUCUUCUUCAGGCUUAGAGUUCGCCGGUGUAGAAGGAACCGUUGACGGCUUGGUGGUGAGGGCUGCUUGGAUGGCCACUCGGAAACAUUCUGCGGCGCCUUGGAAGUCGGCGCGCACAGUUAUGAUUCCUUGCGGCCCUGGCAUCUUCAGUAUCAUGUACGUAUAGUGUGGGAUGGCCAUGAAUUUGGCCAGCCCCGGCCUCCCGAUGAUGGCGUUGUACCCGCAGUCGAAGUUCGCCACCUCGAACCUCAGGAACUCGGUUCUGUAGUUAUCCGGAGUCCCGAAGGUGACCGGCAUGUAGAUGUGGCCCAGCGGGUAUUCUCCUUCCGUCGGCACGAUGCCAAAGAAAGGAGUGUCUGACUCGUGGAGCUCUUUGAGGUGAACUCCCAAGCCUUGGAGCGUACGGGGGAAGGUGACGUUGAUGCUGCUCCCCCCGUCCACUAGCACCUUCUUCACCCGGCUCUCUCGGAUCACCGGAUCGACGAGGAGCGGGUAUUUACCCGGGUGGUCGAAGUUGAGCCAUUGAUCCUCCCGAGUGAACGUGAUUGGGUGCUCCGACCACCGGUACGGGGCGGGAGGGCCGGUGGUCGCCACCAGUAUCUGGCGAUCGUUGAGCUUUUGUUGUCUCUUGUUCUCCUGCGACCCAUGUCCGCCGAAGAUGACGUUGACCUCCCUGUCGACGCGCGGGAAAGCUCCUCCUCUCCCCUCCUCCGGCUGAUGGGGCUGUCGUGGUUCAUCUGGUCCUCCCCUCGGCGGAGGAGGCGGUAGAGGUUGGAAGGGUCGGCCAUGCCCGACGGAGUGCUUGAAAUCCCGGCAGUUGCGGAGAGUGUGGCGCAUGUCCUUGUGGUACGGGCACUGGGCGUCGAGGAUGUCGUCCAGCGUGCGUUCGCCUCCACGAGGUCCUCCUCGGGCGCGAGAGGCGGGUGGUCCGGCGGCGUGUACCUCUUCGCGAGGCCUUUUCUCCCAGCGCUUGUCGGGCGGCUGGUUCGCGUCGCGUCGUGGUGCCGCCGGUGCGGGCUUUGCUCCUCCGAUGAGGUCCUGGGCCCGCUCGUCAGCGGUGAUGUAGAGGUCGGCUUCCCGGAACAGCUCCUCGGAGGUAGUCGGCGCCUUUUGCAGUAUGGCUCGGACGAAAGCCGAGUCGUUAGAUCCUCUGUAGAAGUCCUCGAUCACGGCCGCCUCCGUGACCUCGGGGAUGCGGUUUCUCAUGGUCUGGAACCUUUUAAGGUAUGACCGGAGAGUCUCAUCCCCCCGGCGCUUGAUGGAUUUGAGGUCCCAUGGUUGCGCUGGCUUGUCGGAGAGAGACUGGAAGUUGGCGGUGAAACGUCGACUGAAGUCUCCCCAGUCGUCGAUGCAGUGUCGGGGUAGAUGUCGUAGCCACUGCAGCGCGUCUUGCCCGAGGACGAUGGGCAGAUACGCAGUCAUGACGUCCUCGGAUGCCCCGGCAGCCCGAGCAGCGGUGGUGUAGACGGCCAACCAGCCCCCUGAAUCCUGCUUAGGUUCAUAUUUGUCGACAUUGGAUACCUUGAAGUUGGGAGGCCAUUGGAUGGCCCUAAGGCGCGGAGUAAGGGCAGAUACUCCGCACGUGUCCUCCUGUCGUCGAGGAUGUCGUCUGUCCCGGGGAGGGGAGUGGCGGUGGUGGUUCCUCGACCGUCCCCGGGUGGUUCCACCAGUUGAAGCUGUUGCCGACUCAGUUCGGGUGGCCUGGCUUUGAGUCGGGAAGCCAUGAUCUCGGUCAUACUCCUCCCGACGGCGAUUUUCGUUCUCGUGCCGCCGUUCGCGCGAAGCAUUGAUAGAGCUCCGCGCGUCUCGGCGACUGUUGAUGGCGUGUCGCAGAUCGUUCGGCGGGUGAGCGAGCGGUAGAAGAUGGUUGGCUGCCUGAGUGAACAGGCGCCGGUAUCCCUCGGCGUCGGGGGUCCGAGGAAGUCCGUCAGCUAUCCGGGCUAGAACGCCUCCGACCUCGCUCGGCGUGUUCAUAGCUCGGGCGAAGUCAGGGUUCAAGUUGCGCCCGAAGAGCGGAUUCUCGCGUCGUUGCCUUGCAUCUUGCUCGGCUUGCUCCUGAGUCUGACGGCGAUCACGUCGUCGGGAGUUCCUUCGUUCCCUGAAGACGCGUUCUUCCGGAGUUUCUCCUAUCUCUGAGACCUCGUCUCGCGAGACAGGCUGCUCCGGAUCCCGUUCUCCGGCUGCGUGAUGUCGUCGAACGUUUCUGCGUCGGUUCCUUCGUCGGCGGGAUUCUCGCUGAGGCGGUUCUUCUCCGGGCGCGGUCGGUUCAUCGUCGGAGACGGCGGGCGACUCUGCCCUCCCGAUGAAGAGGACGUCGGGGUAGAACGGUAUUGUUGCCGCGGCGACUUUCUUUCCGUUCUCCUUUGAGGUCGGAGGAACGGGAAGAACGACUGGCCUCUCCCUGAUCUCCUUCCUUCUCAUGACCUGUGUCCAUUCUUUCGUCGGGGAAGUAGACAGCGGAGUCUUCCGGGUCAGCGAGCUUCUAGCUCCAGCCUUCCCGGAGACGAUCUUGUUCCGAAGAGCCGGAGGUAGCGUUUUUCCAGCAUUUUCGGAGUUUGUUGGAGGAGACUUCUGUUCCGGCAGAUCCGCGAGGCGGUGUAGGAUUCCUUCUUCGUCCGCCACGGAUGAGAUUGUCCCGAAGCAGAAUAUGGAUCCGGGACGCAUGGUGAUCUUGCUGUGGAAGGUGACGGCCAUUGAGCUAGCUUGGAUCGUCGACACACCCCCUACCUGGCGCGCCAGCUGUCGGUGUUUUGGAUCCGACCGCACACCCGGGGUUGCCCCCUCAAGGUGUUUUUAGGAGUAGGACGGUGUCGACGACUGUAGCAAAAUGGUUCGUGCCGAUCGCACGAGGGACAAUGAACAAGAUUUGCAGGUUCGGGCCGCUUGGAAGUGCGCAACACCCUACGUCCUGGUGAGUAUAUGAGCGUGGUUACAAGAGGAUUCUCUGGAUAGAGGGCGCAGAGAGUUUUUGUGGGUGGCUAAGUAGAAUAGGGUCGAUCGUUCUGAAGGGGUGCCCCCUAGGCCUUAUAUACUCGACCGUGGGGCAGUACAUGUGAUAUGAUAACAACAAGUAGCUAAAAGAUAGUGAACCUCUUGAGUUUAUCCCUGCGUAACCCUCGCCGACUUAUCCUCGCAUGGCUCCGCUGCAUGGGGGCUUCAGCGCGGGAAAGUCGGGUCUCUGUUGCGAUUCAUUCGUUCGACGUUGUGGGCUGUCCGGGUCUCACGUCUUCUCUUCUUUGUUGGUUGUUUUUCCCUAGGCCCACGAAGGAAUGACCUUACGAAUUAUUGGGCCCUUGGGCCUUUCGUGAGGCCUUUUACUUCUUUAGUGGACCCAGGGGAUAUCUAUCCCCCACAGUUAGAAAACACCUUCGUGGUUAAAAACAAUGAAGAGUCGAAGAAAAGUUUUUACCUUGAAGUUAGAAUAGAAUAAACUACCGAUGAUAUGUUGUCGUCGGUAGCGGCUGAUAUCGGCCUCAAGCUUCAGGAAACCAAUACUCUUCGACAGAGUACCGAUAACCUUCACCCCGGUUUGGUCUCGGACACAACCUAAGCUCUCAUCGUCAAUGCCGCCGAAGAGUAGUGCCCCUGGUUGAUACCCGCAGGAUAUGGCGUAGUCUCUCAAUUCUUCUUUUUCAGCCUUUGACAAUUCUUGUCCAAUUAAGUUUUGAAAGUUGAAAUCUUCUUCUUCUGAAGUAUCUUCGGCUAUUUCCUUCUCUUUCCAGGCACUGUGGCUAUGGUCUCUUCGGCAGAUGUAGCAGCUUCUUCUGCGGCCAUAUCCAGAAGUAUUUUAUCUAUAUCAGAAAGUGUGCUUUCUAAGUUUGAAUCCUUGGCCGUUGCAGCUUCGGUAAUUGCGGCUUCGGCAGGUGCAGCUUCGGUAGCUGCAGUGCUCUCGACAGCUGGUGCUUUUGACGCCGAAGUUGGUGGUGGUGUUUCUUCAAUGACCUCUGUCACAGUGAUGAUUCUUUGUUUUUCGGCCCAGCAGACUUCUUCGUUGCCGAGGGCUCCUUCUUCUGUAAAAGCUUCGUCGAAUGUGGCCCCAGUGGACUUAGCUUGAUAGGCAAGGAUUCAGUCAUUACCUUUAGAAUUUCUUCCACGUUGGCAGCAGAAGGUGUCGAAUGAGUUUCUUCUUCCGUAUCAGUCGCCUUCUUCUUCGGAGCCGCAACCUUCCUUUUCUUCGGAGCAACUGCCUUCGGCUCAGGGCUCAAUUUUCUUUUCUUCAGGAUUUCUUCAUCUUCUUUCACCAUUCUAGCAGCCUGUCUGCCCAUAACACUAACAAUUCUUUUUCUUUUUUGCCCUUCGGCAGCCUUGUUCAAUCGCUCAUAGUCUGGAUAUUCAAAAUUCAGGGCAUCCAUUACCCGAUUCAAUCUUUGCUUCGGUCGGGUGCCGAAGGCUGCAGUCAUCAACUGAUCUUCUUUUCUCGUAUAAUUGCCCAAAAUCUCGUUGCACAUAACUUCAAUUGUAUCUAACCAUUCUUGGCAGGGUUCUUUGAACUGUUUCUUGAACUUGAAAUGAUAGGCAGCCAAACGAGUUCAUUCUUCUUCUUCUCUUUUUCAAGCUUCGGCAUACCCCAUUCCCUCAGCGUUGGGAAUACUCUGUUGGCUAAGUACUCCUGGACCAAAUCCCUAGUCCCAAUAUUUUUAGACACAAUUCUAAACUCAUACACAGCAUCUGGGCAUGGUGCCCCCAGCGUCAUGUUGCACUGAGGCCUAGUCAACCCGAAGGUUAACUCCAGCGGGCUCUGUACUAGCUUCUCCUUUUUCUCAUCAAUCUUAACAUAAAACCAUUCAGAUUUCCAACUGGUCGGCCAUUUAGUGCGAUAGCUGACCACCGGUGUCUUCAUGUCUUUGUGAUAAGCAAAGUUAUAGCAGCCGAAGUUCUCAUGCAGUCCAUCUUCUCUGGCCUUCGUCUGAUAGUGAAGUUCAUGUACUCGGCAGAAGGCUUCGGCGAGAGGAUCCACCCCUUGGCUUCGGAGGGCCCAGAUAUACACGCUGAGCCUAACAAUGGCGUUAGGGGUCAGCUGAUGAAGGUAAAUCUCAAAAUUUUCCAAGACAUCUGCAAUCAUCCCAUGCAGAGGAAAUCUCAGCCGUGCUUUGAAGAAGCUCUUAAAGACCACCACUUCAUCAUUUUCUGGUUUCGGGAUAGUUUCUUCCCCACCAAAGCGAAUCAACCCCUUGUCGGCUUCUUUGAAGUAGCCUAGCUUCGUCAUCAUAGCCAUAUCAGCUUCAGACACAGUUGACUUCCCAAAAUCCAAAUGGCUGGGCUUCGAUGGCAUAGCGGUAUUAUAAUCAAUCUCUUCUUCACCAAUAUCGCCUUCUUCAAUGUCUGCCUGCUCCGCUUCAGUAGCAGGGGUGCCUUCGUUAGGAGCGCCCUCCGUUACAACUAGUCCCGACCACCUCAUAACUUUAGAGAUCGGAGCAGUUUCAGUAGCUUCGGUUUCCUCUCCGUCGUGUGUAACCCUAGCUGUUGAGCGCACUCUGGCCAUUUGAUGUUGAAUCUCUUGCGUUUUAACGAAGUUGAUUAUUUUUGGCGAAGCUCUAUCUUCUCACGAAGCUAGAACAAAGUGAUCUUUUGAUUGAGAAUACGGUGAACAAGCUUCGGCGGUGGUCAAAUUUUUUGGCAGCACAACACUACAAUAGCAGUAAAUGUUGUGGUAACUUCACAACCACCCGUCUGUUUAUAUAGUGCUGCAGGUGGGAAGGUGAAUCGUCAAGUCGCUCGCACCCGCUGAACAGUCACCCGCACUCGCUGAACGGUGGACCAUAGUGCCCAAGAAGUUGAAUCACCAGAUCACGCGUACCCGUUGCAUGGUGGGACCAUCCUUCACUCGCAAUAUUUAAAUCGUUUCCCGACAACGAGCUCAGGGAAGGUGUUUUUCGGACCUUUGGCAUUCCGAAGCCUGAGAGAGUUUUUCAUGGGUCGAGCUCGUUACGAAAAACGAUCUGGCACCGUGAAGGGGCUACUGUUGGGGGUCUGCUUCGUCACCGAAGGUCCCAUAAGAAGAAACACCUUCGAAAGAAUGACACAAAGCCGAAGCUAUUAAUCAGAGAGCUUCGGAGUACAUUUCCAAAUGCACCGACCUAAAGAUGAAAUGACCAAUCAACCCGUGAUGACUUGUAUUAUGAUUGUAAACCUUUGUAAAGGGCAUGAAUGUAAUUUCUCACAGGCUUCGUCCUGUGCCUAUAAAUAGGUGAACAGUACCAUGUACUGUUCAUGCGAUCUUGUAUUCGCUCGUGCGCAACGCUUGGAUUUUUUGCCUUCUAUCAAGCCGAAGGUAUAAAUGUGAUUAAAUAUUGUAUUUAAAUACUUGAAUUCAUGUAAUGAAGAUAUGUGAAUAAUGCUAUAUGAUUGUUCAUGUUAUCUUUCAUGUUUCAUAUGCUUUGUCUUUCAUUACCACUUAUCAUGAUGAUGAAGGUACGUCCUUCAUGACCUUCGUCCGAAGAUCGUUAUAUCCUAAGGGAAAUAAUGCUUCGAAGGACGAAGGAUAUUAACCUUUAACAAUGUGUUGCCUUGUUCUUGAUUCAUAGCAUUUGAGAACAAGUCCCCAACAAUGUUGAAGCUUCCUAAAGGCCAUCAACACGACAUAUAGUAUUCUCCAAUUCUGUGUAAUUUCUUUUUGACGGACCCAAGACUUCAGAGACAAAGUAAACUGGGACUUGUCUCUUUAUCUGCUCAUCAUGCUUUUCUUGGACCAGCGCUGCAGUGACUGCAGAAUGAGAAGUAGCCACAUACAGUAACAGUGGAGCUCUUGAUGAAGGUGGAGUUAAGGUUGUUAACUGUAUAUGGUACUACUUCAAGUCUUCGAAGGCUUUUUGUUGAAUUGGUCCCCAUUUAAAGACUUCGGCUGACUUUAGCACUUCAAAGAACGAUAAAUUCCCCUCUGUCGAUCUUGAGAUAAAUCUAUUCAAUGAUGCUAGCCUCCCUGUCAAUCUCUGAGCACCCUUUAUUGACUUUGGCGGUUCCAUUCAAAGUAUGGCUUCUAUUUUGCUCGGGUUAGCUUCGAUCCCUUUUGUUGAUACUAGGCAGCCAAGGAAUUUGCCCUUCUUUACUACGAAGACACAUUUUUCUGGGUUCAGCUUAAGGCCUGCUUUCCUGAAGUUGGCAAAUGUUUCUUGCAAAUCAGCAAUGUGAUUUUCUUGCUUCGCACUCUUGACUAUGAUGUCAUCAACAUAUGUCAAGACAUUUCUGCCAAUUUGGGUACUCAGAUCCUUGGAUGUCAUUCUGCUAAAGCUUCCUCCAGCAUUCUUGAGCCCCUCAGGCAUCCAAAGAUAGCAAUAUGUUCCACUGGGGGUUAUGAAGCUUGUCUUGGGCUCAUCUUCCUUCUUCAUCCAAAUCUGAUGAUAACCUAAGUAACAGUCUAGAAGACUCAUGAGCUCUGAAGUAGCUGCCGCAUCUACAAGGGAGUCUAUUCUAGGCAGAGGAAACUCAUCCUUCGGGCAUGCCUUGUUGAGAUCUGUGAAAUCAAUACACAUUCUCCACUUUCCAUUGGUCUUUUGACUUCAUUUCUUACUCCUUCAGCUUUGUCAUCCGACAUCUUCUGAACCUUCUGGUUCCUUGGCCUGAUGGUGGGAUCUACAUUGAGAGAAUGUUCGAUGAAAUCUCUGUUGACACCACACAGAUCAUUGACUGACCAGGCAAAAACAUCUCUGUUGUUGAAUAAGAACUUUGAUAGAGUCUUUUCUUGUUCCUCAGAUAACUGGGAUCCAAACAACACUUUUUGUUCGGUUAUGUCUUCACACAAAAGCUUGGACUUUGGCUGGUUCGCCAAAGCUGCUUUAUCUCUUAUGUAUUUGUGCUGCAGGUAAGCUUUAGCUUCGUCUAUGUUGUGAAUUGCCCUAGAAUAUGUCCAAUUUCCUUCGGCUCUUCUAGCAGCCUCUUAGCUUCCAUGUAUGGCAAUUGGGCCCUGAUCUGAUGGUAUUUUCAGGCACAAGUACGCUGGAUGUAGUAUUGCCUCGAAAGCAUUCAAUGUUCCUCUUCCAAUGAUUGCAUUGUAGGGAUAAUCCAUGUAUACAAUGCCAAACACAACUUGUUUAGUUCUGGUGUUGUGCACGUAACCAAAGGUGAUUGGCAUUGUUAUCUUUCCAAGUGUUGCUAUAUGUUUUUCUCUGAAGCCACAUUGAGGAUGUGUUGCAUCAUGUAUUUUAUCCUCUUGCUCUUGCAUUUGUCUAAAAGCCUUUGCAAAGAUAGUAUCUGCUGCACUGCAUGUAUCCACCAAGACAUUGUGGACCAAAAAUCCUUUUAUGGCACAUGAUAUAACCAUGGCAUCAUUGUGGGGAUAAUCCUUGAGCUGAAGGUCCUCUUGAGAGAAUAUGAUUGACACAUGAGACCAUUUGGAUUUGAUGUAGGGAUCUUGCACUCCAACAUGUUGUACCCUUCUUUAGGCUUCCUUCUUCUGCUUCUUGUUGGCUGGUUCGAAGCUUGAGCCAUCUGUGAUCGGAAGCACAAGCUUCGUCGCUGAAGGUGACAGAGCUUGAUGACUUUGUGAAGCCAUUGUUGUAGUCGUGGAAGUGAGUUCACCGGAGGUGGGCGCCAAUGUUGUUCAGUUGUUUGUAAUUGUUGUGAAUAAAAAACAAGGCAACACACACAUGUUAAACGUUAAGGACCUUUGUCCUUCAAAGCAUUAUCCUCUUUCAGAGAUAAUGACUCUUGGACGAAGGUCAUGAAGAACGAGUCUUCAUUUUUCAUAAGUAUAAUAUUACAAUGUAACAUUAUAACAAUCACUUAUUUCAUAUCGCAUGCCAGAAUGAUGUUAAGAUCGGUAUCAUAUGUAUUAAUAAAGUGGUACAAAUUAUAUAUUACAUGUGUACCUUCGGCUUGCUCGAAGGAGAGAAUGUGAGUACAACUUUUCAAUCUAGCAUGAACAGUACAGGGGUACUGUUCAUCUAUUUAUAGAUAAGGGACGCAGCCCAACCAGAAGUACAACUAUGAUCCUAAUAUCUACACAUUGCUCUAAUACAAAUAACAAGGAUAAACAAGUCUUUUCCUUGUUGGUUGGUGUCAUGUAUGACCUUCGUGACCAUCUUAAGCCGAAGCUCCAAUUCUUGUCGAAGCUUUGCUGCAUUUUAUGCAUGUCUGUUGCAGCUUCGGCACUUAGUUCCUUUGAUUACAAACAGUUUCUUCAUCCUGAGAACCUUCGGCAGAGAAGGAGACCCCCAACAAGUACCACAUGACAUUAGCAUGUAUUCAUUUCCUAUGGGGUUCAUCCUCAACUUUAAAAGGUUCGUCACACCUUAUCUUAUAUCGUGGUGCCUUGCAAACUAGGAAAACUUCCAAUUUCUCGUUCUCCUUACCACGAUAUAGCAUACAGUCAUUAGGACAUUCAUCUAUCUUCUGUUCUUCCAAACUGAAAAGGAAAUGGCCUUCACCAUUUCAUCUAAUUGAUUUUAGUACUUGAUGACCAUCACAACCACUAUGGACUAACUAGUGUGCCUAUUUGAUUGAUUCACAUGUGCAAAAGUCCAUCCAACUUAAUUCUAAGUUGAAUGUUUAGAAUAACAUAGAUUAUUCUGAACAGGAGAGCAAUUUGGAGAAAUCACUUGUGCGCGGACCGUCCAGGCCCUUCUAGCGAACCGUGCGCGACACUGCAACACCUCGGAUAGGAACUAUGUUGAAAACCACAUUUCUACUACAGACUGGCUAAAGGAGAGAAGAGCACGCCCGAGACCAAGCGCAGAUCGUUCGGCCCUCUGGUGUGGACCGUUUGCCCGUUGAAAACCAGAAACCUGAAGGUGUCGGGUUCAGUAAAAUUCAUUUUUAAUGUCCUCAUGGACUGUCCGGGGUGCACGGCCAGACCAUCCGCGACAGCUUUAUCUGACAUCUGACGACGCAUUUAAUGCACUUAUAGCCAUUGAUAUAGUUGUUACUGCUGACGGUUGCAAUUUUAGUCGUCAUGUCUAGGGGCGGACCGUCCGGACCAGGAGCAGACCGUCUGCGUGUCGCAGAAAGUUGACAACUGCUAGGAAGUGGUUGGUGGCUAUAAAUGGAAUCCCAGCUACCUCAAUUCACAACAUCCAAGCAUUCCAUUCAUCCACAUUCAAUACAAGAGCAAUCAUACCAUUCCGAGACACAUUCCAAGCUCCCAAACUCCUCCAUGUGCCAUAAUUGUGACUAGUGAUCAUUAGUGAUUAGUGCCUUGGAAAGUUUAAAAAGAGUGUGAUCUUGUGUUUUUCUUGUUCCUCUUGUUGCUUGGCUUUGUUGAUCGUGCUUUCUUCAUAUCGCAGAACCUCCCAAGUUAUUGGGUCCACAUGCACCUGUCCUCGUCCCAAGGACCUCGGACGGCUAUGCAUGUGUACCAAACAACUUAACAGGAUCUGUCUGAGUGUCCCAAGGAUCUCGGAUAAACCAAUUACCGCCAAGAUCGCAGGAUUAAGUAAACACAAAUCACACUCCGACAUUUGUAGCGGAAAUUAUUUAUUAUAAAAUGGUUACAAGUUACAACAGGGUUACAAUAUAUAUCAUCGGAGUUGAUUACAAAAGAAAGUGUUUCAAAAGAAUUACACUUUAAAAUGUUAUAGAAUAUUUGUAAAUUUGAAAUACAUGCUAGCUUAAGUGACAAUCCUCAUUAAAGAAACUAUAGAAGGGAAAUACAUAGACGUUGUAGAAAAUCAAGACUAAACAACCUCGCAAGGUAUUACAACACUCAUAAACAAACACUAGAUGUCGAAACAACACUAAGUACAACGUCCAUAUUAUUUUGAUCUAACCGAAUCCAAUUCGAACAACAAGCGAUACUAGACUAAGCACAAGUCCUAUAUCUUCGUGAGCUAGAGAACACACCAAAAGGCGGUCGAGACUUAGGCUCAUUAUUGAGGGACACCUAACUCAGACUAAGGAUAGAAACCAUUAGUUAACUUUCUAACCCAAUAUUAUAAUCUAACCUGUAUAGCACGCCAACUAAUUAGAGCAUCACAAAAUUUAAUUAAGCAGGUCUAGUAGAAUUUCCUAACUAGCCAUUAGAAACACUAGACAUGCUCAAAAUGUCAUUUACUAAGACCAGGCAUUAACGUCGCCAUAUCAAUAAAAUUCACCAAAGCAAUAUGGAUAUUACUUGUCAAUAAAACACUAAAAAUACUAACCAGGCAUCACCAUCAUACCAGUCUACGAAUUAACAUUUAUUCAAGGCAAUUAGCUUAAGCGCUAAAUCUUCAUUGAUGACAUUUACUCAAUCAAUAAACAUAGCACCCGACAACUAGUAAAGCAAGAUAUUAUUGUACCAAUAAAAUCGACAUAAACAAUUCUAGUCGAAUAAUAUGUUGGAUAGCUGGUAGAAAUACCAAAUUUAUUGUAUAUAUUUAUUAAAACAUGUCUUGCAUGAUAAGCACUUCAAAACUAAACUUCACUACACAAGUGCUAUAAUAUCCUUGGUUAAAACAUACACCAUGAUACUAAAAUUCAAUCAAAUAUCAAGAGUCAUGCAAAUAAGCUAAUAAUUACAUUUUAAAUCCUUUUGAAAAACUAAGGCUAAAUUUUACAAUCUUUAAACACAUCUCUCGCAUGCUUCCUAUUUAAUCGAGACCUAGCUCAUUUAUAAGGAAAACAGUAGGUCGACAUGAAUUCUAUAUUUUUCUUUUACUAGAGCAUAAUACUGAGAGAUUAGUAGAGCUUAGGGUCAUCAUUUCUACACUUAAAAGUAAAAUAUAGAUAGAAACAAACUAACUAACUUUCUAAUAUCUACUUAUCCGGACUCACCUGUGUAUAUCACGCCAAAUACAUGGAUAUCACAUGCACAACAAAGAAUCUAAAACCAUAAACCCUUGAGUAUAACUUGUCUUCAUGAGGUUGCAUUUAAUUACCGAUAGAACUUUAACGGAUAUUCUAAUCAGAUUACUAAUAUCUCCAGGCAAACAUCAUAGGCAUGCCACGGAUUAACCAAAGUUGGCAUUCUAUGGACUUCACUCAACACUACAAAUAAUUAAAACUAUUUCUCAAUCUUUUAUAAUUACGUAGUAUUUACUUCAUUCAAGAAAAGGUGAUUAAUUAGCCUUAAACUAGUGAACUAACUAUCCAUACCCAAAAUGAAUAAAGUCUAGCCGUGAGAAACUCCGAGACUUAAUAGUACCAUAAUCAACUCGACUCGAUUAUAACGGGACCAACGACGAGUAUUGGUUUUAGACACAAACAUGAGAAGAUGGAGCAUCAAAUUAAAUAUGGUUCUAACUACAUAAAGCAAACACCAAGGAUCUAGCUCAGGAAUGGUUGUCUAUGAGCUUCAUAAAAUCCAAAAUCAGGUAUAACAAAUUAUUUAUUUUAUUAUUUCCAUUAAGUGAUUUAUUUUACUAAUGGGAAAAAAUAUUUCUAACUACACGAAUAUUCAACGACUAACCGAAUAUAAUCCAAAAUGAACGAAACUGCACUACAAGCGAAUUUAAGCCUAUGCAAUAGCUAAACCAAGUGGGGACUUGAAAAAAAAAUGGUGAUAUAUAGAUCCGACUCAGGCGAUAUACCGAGCAUGUGAUGAGAGACGUACUGAACUCCACUAUUCUACACGAUUUAGUUACAUUUUUCACUAAACUACUCCUGCGAUUAGGUAUUUUAACAAACAUUUUACGGUUAACCACCACAUGCUUGCCACCAACAAGAUAAUCAUCACGACCAACACAUUUAUCUAAUUCGCCUGAUAACUCAAUCAGCAGGAAUAGUGAAUCAAAAUGCAUUUACCAAAUCGACUAGAAUUCCACGUAAAUGACAAUGAUCCUGGUUCAAGUCUUCAGUCCCAUCUAGCAAGCGAUGCAUAGACCUCGCUCCUUUACCAACAGAUCCAUGGAAUUUUUUCCCUCCAAGCACACAAAUAACCACACGUAAAUAAUCACGUAAUUAGCAAUAAAGGUUUGGUGUUGGGUGGGGACAAACAACACAUAGACAUCGAGUCUCACCGGCGAUAGGGAACUGCAGGGAUCGAGAUAGAGCUUGCUACGGCAUUUCGUCGAUCAUGCUGAGGCACGACAGGGAGGAAGUUCCAUGGCGGCCAUUGAUGAGGACUGGAGCAGGGAGAGACACCAGGGCACAGACGAGCGCGGCCUGGGGCCCUGGGCACCAGAGCUGAGCUCGCGUCGGAGCUGCCAGAAGAGAGCACGCCACACGCGGCUGGAGGAGGAGCGCGUCGCGCAGUCGGGCCUAGGCGCAGCGUCGAUGAAGCUUGACUGGGGCGAGGUCCAGGCGCUUGUUCUGGAGGUGGAAGAGAAUGGCGGGGUCGACGGCAGACUCUGUGCGUGUGGAGGCGAGGAGCAGAGAGCCGAGCGCUGAUGAAGAGCGGAGUCAUGUGUUUUCUAGAUAGGAGGCAGAGGUUUUUUUUUUAUUUUGUAUCUCUGGCAUAAUCUCUACAGGAAGGGCUUCUAGGAGCUUAAUACGUGGCUUCUAGGACUUUAAUACGUGAACCUGUGAGAGGAUAAGGAGUACAUGAUGGCUCCAGGAGUUUGCACACGUCAGAAUAAGAAUAGAGGGAGAUGACACGUAGAGGAUAAAAAAAUGGGUUUUCUAAAUUAGUGCCCUUAGUUUUAGUGGUGUGCUCACAUAUACCUUUAGUCGUGUUUUUUUCUCAGCUGUGUCUUUCUGUUCUAUAGCACUGGAAGGGCAAAGCUGAGCAAAAAACACGACUAAGGGUAUAGGUGAGUACACCACAAAUACUCAGCUCUCUUUAUCUCGGUCCAAUUCAAUCUCGCAUUAAUACUUUUGCCGCCGAACUUCUAAUAAAAUUUACUUGGGUCAAAAAUCACAAGAGUGGGUCGAUGUUCUAAAUUUAUUCACUUAAUAGAUAAAUUUUAAUUAGGCACAAGACUCAAUAAUUCUGAAGAUUAACUACAGUUUGAAUCUCGCGAAAUUUUUUGGGUAGUAUAGAUUCAAGGAGAUAGAUAUGGUACCAAAAUCGUAAUAGACAAAAAUGAUUAGAACUUAGUGACUUUAUAUUCAUUGAUAUCCCGUGCUUAAAUCCCUACUCGUUGCCGCACGAGAAAUAAACACCUGGGGUGUUACACUUUAUCUCCUAAACUCUUAAGUGACUUGCAAAGCUAGCAAGAGACAUCUAAUUAUGUGGUGAUCCCUAUAGGGUCUAAGUGACCCUCGAGAUUAAGGAGAAGCACUCAACCGGUCUAAGUGGCCGUUUGAGAGAGGAAAUGGGUUGAAAGAGACUCGACCUACGUGGCCUCCUCAACGGGGAGUAGGUUCGUCGGAACUGAACCUCGGGAAACAAAUCGCUUGUGUCUUUGUGUUAAUCUUACAUUGAUUUGAUUCUUCCUCUCUCCCUCUCUCUCUAUCUCUCUCUAAGUCCUCUUGCAUAUUGUUUUGAGUUAGCUACCAAAAGUUAUCUGCAUUGAUUGAGCAACUCAUGGCAAGAAAAACUAUCUUCCACACUCCGAUUUCAUUAUUGCUCGUUCUAACGCUAACCUUGGGUGACGUUUGUGUUCAAAGUUUAUAAUUUUCAGGUUUCGCCUAUUCACCCAUCCCCUCUCUAGGCGAUUUUCAAUUGGUAUUGGAGCUCAACACUUCAUUAGAGCCUAACAACUCAAAGUGAUGUCAGGUGAACACACCAAGAAAGAGGUGCCCACUGAGGAAAAGCUCGAUUCUUUGGGAAAGAAGCAUGAAGGCAAGACUUUGUCAAAGGAGGUCAAGAUAUCCGGUGACAAGCACAAGGAGGACAAGGAAGAAUCCACCGACUCCAUCAAGUCGCACAAGAAUAAGGGCGACAAGAAGAAAAAGAAGAUGACUAAGGUGGUCUACUAUGAGACUGACUCAUUCGCGUCCUCAACCUCUGACGCUGCAUCAACAUCUUCAAAGUGUCAAGUGUCGGGGACCAUAAUUAGGGGUACCCUCAAGGCUCCUAAUUCUCAGCUGGUAACCCCCAUCAGCAUAAAGCUGCAAAGGCCUGAUGGGUGCGAUUAAGUCAGGGAUCAGUCCAUUCGAGGGACUCGAUCACGCCUCGCCCGAGCCUAGCCUCGGACAAGGGCAACCGACCCCGGAGGAUUUCCGUCUCGCCCGAGGCCCCCCUCCAGCGGCAAAUAUAUUUCCGGCUCGCCCGAGGCCUUGUCUUCGCCAAGAAGCAACCCUGACCAAAUCGCCGCACCGACCGACCAAAUCGCAGGAGCAUUUAAUGCAAAGGUGGCCUGACACCUUUAUCCUGACGCGCGCCCCCCAGCUGGCAGAGCCGAAGUGACCGCCGUAACUUCGCCGCUCCACUGACCGGCCUGACAGAAGGACAGCGCCGCCUGCGCCGCUCCGACUGCGGCGCCACUUGACAGAGUGAGGCUGACAGGCAGUCAGGCUCGGCCGAAGGCACCAUAGGAAGCUCCGCUUCGCCCGACCCAGGGCUCGGACUCGGGCUAAGUCCCGGAAGACGGCGAACUCCGCUCCGCCCGACCCAGGGCUCGGACACGGGCUAAGUCCCGGAAGACGGCGAACUCCGCUCCGCCCGACCCAGGGCUCGGACUCGGGCUAAGUCCCGGAAGACGACGAACUCCGCUCCGCCCGACCCAGGGCUCGGACUCCGGCUAAGUCCCGGAAGACGACGAACUCCGCUCCGCCCGACCCAGGGCUCGGACUCGGGCUCAGCCCUAGAAGACGAUGAACUCCGCUUCGCCCGACCCCAGGGCUCGGACUCCGCCCUGGCCUCAGCCGACGGUCUCCGCCUCGCUUGAACCAGGGGCUCGGACUCGACCUCGACCACGGAAGACAGACUCGACCUCGGCCUUGGAGGAGAUUCCACAUCGCCCAACCUAGGGCGUAGACCAGCCACGUCAACAAGAGGCGCCAUCAUCACCCUACCCCGAGCUGACUCGGGCCACGGGGAACAAGACCGGCGUCCCAUCUAGCUCGCUCCACCAGAUGGGCAAUGAUGGCGCCCCGCAUAUUCUGUGAUGACGGCGGCUCUCAGCCCCCUUACGGAAGCAAGAGGACGUCAGCAAGGACUCGACAGCCCCGACAGCUGUCCCUCCGCCAGGCUCCAGCACUCCUCCGACGGCCACGACAUCACACCAGCUGGGUGCCAAAAUCUCUCCGGCUACCACGACGGCAUGUACUUAGGGCGCUAGCUCUCCUCCGCUAGACACGUAGCACUCUGCUAUACCCCCCAUUGUACACCUGGAUCCUCUCCUUACGCCUAUAAAAGGAAGGACCAGGGCCCUCUUAGAGAGGGUUGGCCGCGCGGGGACGAGGACGAGACAGGCGCUCGCUUGAAGCCGCUCGCUCCCUCUCCCGCGUGGACGCUUGUAACCCCCUACUGCAAGCGCACCCGACCUGGGCGCGGGAAGAACAUGAAGGCCGCGGGAUCCCCACCUCUCUCACGCCGGUCUCCGGCCGCCUCGCUUUCCCCCUUCGCGCUCGGCCUCGCGCUCGACCCAUCUGGGCUGGGGCACGCGGCGACAUUCACUCGUCGGCUUAGGGACCCCCCUGUCUCGAAACGCCGACAGUUGGCGCGCCAGGUAGGGGCCUGCUGCGUGUUGACGAAUAGCUUCCCGUCAAGCUCUAGAUGGGCAGUCUCCAGCGACCUCUCCAACCCGGGAUGGUGCUCCGUUUCGGGAGUCUCGAGUUCAUGUCCCUCGACGGCAGCUACGACAUGAUACUCAUUCCACCGCCGGGCGGCAGCGGCAACGGCGGCCGACAACCCGCCCGCCGGCGGCGGAAUCGACGACGUCUUCCCCGCGUGGUGGAAGAACAACCUUCGAGCUCAUCCCGCCCUUUUCCCCGCCGACGGAGGGGAAGGCGGGGAAACCAAGGCCAAGCGGGAGGCAGCGUCUCGUCGGCUGUCGAGCGAGUCGACGGUGCCGGCACCCCAACGGGGGGCGCACCGGGCAUCGACCUCGCGCUUGAGACGAAGGCGAGCGCCGUCUCCCCGCGAUACGCCAACUCCGAGCAAACGGACGACGCCAACACACUCGCGAAAAGCUUGCUGGACGUCACCCUCGUACCUGAGACGACGGUGCAGUCAGUCCCCGACGUGACUUCAUCACCGCCCGUCGACCAAGAGGUACCGACUGUCGGUGUUUUGGGUCCGACCGCACACCCGGGGUUGCCCCCUCAAGGUGUUUUUAGGAGUAGGACGGUGUCGACGACUGUAGCAAAAUGGUUCGUGCCGAUCGCACGAGGGACAAUGAACAAGAUUUGCAGGUUCGGGCCGCUUGGAAGUGCGUAACACCCUACGUCCUGAUGAGUAUAUGAGCGUGGUUACAAGAGGAUUCUCUGGAUAGAGGGCGCAGAGAGUUUUUGUGGGUGGCUAAGUAGAAUAGGGUCGAUCGUUCUGAAGGGGUGCCCCCUAGGCCUUAUAUACUCGACCGUGGGGCAGUACAUGUGAUAUGAUAACAACAAGUAGCUAAAAGAUAGUGAACCUCUUGAGUUUAUCCCUGCGUAACCCUCGCCGACUUAUCCUCGCAUGGCUCCGCUGCAUGGGGGCUUCAGCGCGGGAAAGUCGGGUCUCUGUUGCGAUUCAUUCGUUCGACGUUGUGGGCUGUCCGGGUCUCACGUCUUCUCUUCUUUGUUGGUUGUUUUUCCCUAGGCCCACGAAGGAAUGACCUUACGAAUUAUUGGGCCCUUGGGCCUUUCGUGAGGCCUUUUACUUCUUUAGUGGACCCAGGGGAUAUCUAUCCCCCACAAGCCCCCGAUCUUUGGGUUGAUUUAGAGGUAAUCAACCCAAAGAUCCAAGGUCCAAAAAAUGACUUCCUGCUGUCUUCUUUGACUCUGAUCGCUCGUCCGACCAAAGUUUGGUUUUGUGCUUGUGCCUUAGAGGUCGGCAUUUUUGGGUUGUAAGACCCUGGACUUUAUUGGGUGCACCGGAGGUGCACCCAAUGGGUGUAGCCCCCGACCUUCAAAUGGAUUUUUUAAGGAUCAUCCAUUCGAAGGUCUUUCUUUCGUUUGUGGAAACUGGCAUGAGGCUAUUUUGCAUUAUGCUUUAGAGGUCAGCAUUAUGUCAUCAAUAUUUUGUUGCAAAGGUCAGCGUAUAUUUUGUCUUUAGCAGCCGAGUUCGCGAUCCAUCCAUAUCUUGCUAGGUAGUGCAAUUUAUUUGCUUCUGCGAUUGAUUGGACGUCUGACAGACGUUCUCUGUCUAGUCUUCACGUCGUUUCUGUCGGCCAUAUCUUGUACUUUGCUGGUUAUAUUUGGCUUUCCUCUGAUCCUUACUGAUAUCUCAUUUUUGUCUUGAGGUAUUCACUGCAUGCUCUGCACGGAUGUGACCGUUUGAAAAAUGUACUGAUAAUUCCUGGGCGUCCCCCCCCAAUGGGUGUGGGCAAGGGACGGCUUGGUACGCUGAGUGUUUUAGCCGGUUGCCUCUGAGUAGUAAUGCGAUGGGACGGCUAGUGUAAUCAUAUCCUUUGCGCUGUUGACUGGAGUCCCAAUGGGUGUAGUGUUGCAUGAAACGGCGUCCGCCGUCUGACGUGUCUUCAGAUGGGUGGAAGUGCUUAUUGAAUGCCUUGCGACUGUUCAGUGGCCGCGGUUAGAAGUGAGCGGUUGCCUUUCCCUUCUAUAAAUAACCCCUUUGCUUUUCUGGUUUCUUCACAUCUCUUCGCUGCUCCUUACUGCCUCUUCCCUUUCUUCUCUCCCAAAGCUUCAGCCAUGGGCAAGAACAACAAGCGCAAGCGUGAGCCGACUCCUCCAUCGGAGGAGUUUGGUGAUUCGGAAUACUCAGAGGAGGAGUUCUCCUCUGAGUCCGAGGGGUCUCCGGCUCCCAUCCCCCUGCGUGAGUCGUCUGACGACUCAGACGACUCCCAGGGGCUUGCGGCGGAGGUCUGGACGUACAUCCGGGCCGUCGAGCGCUCCGGGCUCGAAGGCUCGGAUGAGUCGGAGUACUCCUCGGAUGAGGAGGACUCGGACGGCGGUGACGAGGGUGAAGACGACGACGACGACGAUGACGACGACGACGGCGACGGUGACGGCAGCGGCAGUGGCAGGGGCGGCGGCGACGGCGACGGCAGCAGGGACAGCACCAAGGGCGACAGCAGCAGGGGCAGCACCAAGGGCAGCAGCAGGGGCAGCACCAAGGGCGGCGGCGGCAGCAGGGGCAGGGCCAGUGGCUAGACGCCACUGGUCUUCUUAGAUAUUAGUAUAGUUUAGUAUAGCUAGAAUAAUGUAGUAGUAAUUAGUGUAAUUUAGUAGUAGUAGUAAUGUAGAGUAGUAUAUUGUAGUUUAGUAGUAGUAGUAAUGUAGAGUAGUAUAUUGUAGUUUAGUAGUAGUAGUAAUGUAGAGUAGAAUUAGGGAAGUACCAACUCGUGAAGAGUUGGUUUGUAAACUCGUAAACUUCCUUUUAAAUAAAGACUGUCGUUUAUCCCCUCUUUUUGAUGACUUGUCCUUGCUUUUGCCGAAUGUUGAACUGAUUCUUUUGAUAUAGUGGAAACAACGCCGAGCGAUGUGAAGAUUGACAUCAGCAUUUUAGAAGUAACACUGAGCAAUCGAACACAAGACCAGCGUUUUAGAGGCAAUGCCGAAUGAUAGAAGGUCGGCAUCGGCAUUUUAGAAGUAAUGCCAAGCGACAAAAUACGGGGCCGGCAUUUUAGAUAUAACGCCGAGUGAUUGAAUGUCGGCGUCAGCAUUUUAGAAGUAAUGCUGAGCGUUUGAACACGUGGUCGGCGUUUUAGAGGUAACACCGAGUGAUUGAAGAUCGACAUCGGCAUUUUAGAAGUAAUGCCGAGCGAUUGAACACGUGGUCAGCGUUUUAGAGGCAGCGCCGAGUGAUAGAAGGUCGGCAUCGGCAUUUUAGAAGUAAUGCCGAGCGAUUGAACACGUGGUCGGCGUUUUAGAGGCAGCGCCGAGUGAUAGAAGGUCGGCAUCGGCAUUUUAGAAGUAAUGCUGUGCGAUUGAACACGUGGUCGGCGUUUUAGAGGCAGCGCCGAGUGAUUUGAAGGUCGGCGUCGACAUUUUAGAAGUAAUGCCGAGCGAUUGAACAUGUGGUCGGCGUUUUAGAGGCAGCGCCGAGUGAUUGCCCGUUUCUUAAGUUACUUUGAGGAAAAUGACCGAGUGAUGAGGUGGCACAUUGGCUUUCUUGGAAAUAACUGUUGGAUAUCCACGUGGCAUGCUGGGAUUUCGGAGAUGACCGCCGGGUGGUGACUGGGCACUUUUGAAAAGGUAUCUGGCUCAAGAAUAUCCCUUAAGAGUCGCGCUUUUAGCCGCCUUUGCUUUCCGUGCCCUAGUUCUUGCAUUUCCGCAUCUGAAUCUUCUCUGCCGCUCGCCUCCCACUCUGUUUCGCCAGCGAGAAGCAAGAUGGCGCCCAAGAGGAAGACUACGAACUCGUCUGCCGCAGUGAUCCCCGCCAUCGACCCCAACAGUCAGUUACCCUUCGCAGGUAACCAUAUGUCUGUAAUUUCUGAAGUUGAGCUUCUCCGCCUUGUCUCCAUCGGGGUUCUCCCUCCACGGGAACUCUGUUCUUGGCGGGCUUGCCGCGGGACUACUGUCCCAACCGAAGAUACCCACGAGUCAGUGGUUUACACUCCUUUCCUUCUUCGCGGCCUCGGCCUUCCCAUAUCUCCUUUUUUCCGUGGCAUCCUUGAUUUUUAUCACAUCAACCUGACUCACUUGAACCCUAACUCCAUUCUCCAAAUCUCUAUUUUCGUUCACCUUUGUGAAGCUUAUCUCGGCGUGCUGCCGCAUUUUGGUUUAUGGAAAUAUCUGUAUCACUGCCGCCCUGGGAUGGCCGGGGGGCAACAUCAGUUGGUCGGAGGUGCAAGUUUAGAGAUGCGCCGUGGGCGGAAGACCGAGUAUCUCGAGAUACCCCUCAAAGACAGCAUUAAAGGUUGGCGUCUGGAGUGGUUUAUAAUGGAUAAUUAUGGAAAUUCUCUCCCUUCCCGCUCAGGAAGACAGCCAGACGUUCGUACUCCAAGUUGGACUGAGUCUCCCACGGAUCAAGAAGUGGCCGAGGCAGGCGUGUUGCUUACUGAAGUUGGAUUACUGAAAGAGAGAGGUCUGACUGCCGAAGCUGUGGUCACAGAUUUUGUCUUCAAAAACAUUCAGCCGCUGAAAGACAGGGCCUAUCCGGCAUAUCUUUACCGAGGGCUGGCCGACUCAACCCGAGUUACCAAUAGGAGAAUUCCUUCUGCGGAUUUGGUGAGCCGACUCGAAAUGAUCCUCAGGGGUAAAGUUUCAAACGUUGGUGCUCCAGUGGCAUACUCGGCUUGGAACCUGCCUUCUCCCAAAGAUUUCACUCUUUUUGUGUCCAAUCCGCCCGUGACAGAUAGCAAUUUGGGUCUUAGAGUGCGACCCUCUGCUGAAGAGGUCCGUUCCUUAGUUGCUUCGCUCGGGGAGAUACCUGAUGAUGAACGACAGAUUUAUUUUGAAGUGCCCCUGAACCCUAGUGAUGCAGACAUAAAUGACAUGCUCGAUCUGUUAGCUGAGGAUUCAUCUGAUACUGCUCCGGAUGGUACAUUGGCAGUGGUGCCCCUUCCAGAGGUUGAUGCGACCUUGGAUGUCUCGAGACCUGUCAAUACUCGCCCGAGGCGUCCUAGCCGAACUAGUCAGCCCGAGCCUUCUGCUGAUGAGCAGAAGAAGAAAAGAAGACGCCUCCGGCGAGUGUCCAGCUUUGACGAGGAUGCCAGCACCUUAGCUCCUGCUGCCGAAGAAAUGACUGCAACUGGCCUUGCUGACAUUGAUCCCAAUGGGUGUGCUCCGCCUGCUGCUGACCCCAAUGAGGAUGCUGUUUGUGCUGUUGCUGUGGAAGAUGAGGAGGAAGAGAAUGAAACUCCAUUAACUCGGAAAAAUAGUCGGCAGAUCGUCGCUAGCGGUGGUAGUAGUGGGGUUCCUUCUCCUGCCUUGUCUGCUCUUAUUGGUCUGCAAGAACUGUCCAUGGCCAAUUUUGAUCAAGCUCUAGAGGAUAUGGUCCCUGAGAACUUGUUGUUGGAAUCUGCAGACGUUGAUGCAACAGAAACUUGUGCAGCUGUGCCAGAUGCUGGGUUGAGGUCGUCCCGUGCCUCGUCGACCUUAGAGCACGAUCUCGAGGGUCGGGAUGAUGACUUGGAUCGUCCUGAUCCUACGGAAGUAGCUGAGGGCCCGUCAACCUUAGAGGUGGUCACGGCAGAGAGCUCGGAUCCCUUGAAUAGUGCUGACACGUGCCCAGCCCCCGAGGGUGUCGCCGGGGAGGACUCAGCUCAGGUGAGGAGUGUAGGCCACUACCCAGCCCCCGAGGGUGUUGCCGGGGGUGACCCGGCUCGAGUGGGCAGUGCCAACCUUGACCCAGCCCCCGAGGGUGUCCGAGCGAGGUCUCCCUCCUGCACUUCCAUGGAUGUUCAUGUGGGUUCACCUCCACACUCUGGCGGCAUGAUGGUGGCUCAAACUCCGGAUCAGGGGGUCGCUUUGGAGGGCAGCAUCCCCACUGGUCUGGCGUUAAGCUCUGCUGAAUGUACUGAGAUCGUUCCUGCUGGUCUGCUGCAAGCUGCUUCGAGUGAUGGUCUGGCACUUGGUCAUCAGCUGAUUUCUCCUGACUUGGGGAUCCCUUCGCUUUUUUCCAACCUCCAGGUGCUGUGCUGUGCUUUAGUUUGAUCUUUAUGUUGCAUGAAUUGUCGCCAUUAUGCUCAUCCGCUCUUCUUAUCAGGCUUUGGUGGAUGGAAUGGUCGGCCAGCUGAAGUCGCAGGGUGCUUCCAUCCCGGAGGUGGCUUCAUCUCUUCAGCGUUGGAAUCCGGUGUUGCUUCGGGGUCGUGUAUCUGAGUUGGAGGCCACUAAUGCUGGUUAGUGUCCUUUCUUCUUCUUCUUUGUUCUUGCCCGUGGGUUGUUUUACCUUCUGACCUCAUUUUGCUUGAAUACCUCUUGAUAGGGAUGACUCGGCAGAUCACAGUUCUUGAAGAAAAACAUUCCCAAGAUCAAGCUGAAAUGGCUCGACGAUGCGCUGACUUCGAGGAGAAGUAUUCUCAAAGUCAGAUCGAGUUGAGUCAGGUCUCUGCAGCUUUGGAUGAUGCCAACGCCCUGAGUUCUUCCCUUCAUGCUCAGCUUGACUCUGAGAAGGUAGCUUGCGAACCCGUGCUUCGCCUUAUCAUGCUCUUGGAUUCUGAAUGAGUUGAUUUUUGCUUGUAGGAAGAAAAACGCAUCCUUGCUGCUUCUCGCGACAACUUGGACAGAUUGUACCGAGAUUCCAGCAACUCGCUGACCAUCUUGGAGAGGAGCCACCGUUUUACGAUGGAGGAGCUUGACAACCAGCGCCGUCAACUGCAAGAAUCCUCGGAUGAAGUGGCCCGCCUUACACAGUUGCUAUCGGCAAAGGACGCCACCAUCAAGGGACUCCGAGCUUCUAAGAAAUCCAUUGCUCAGGAGUUAGAAACCGCUCAGCAGGCUGUUAAAGUUGCUGAAGAAGCUGCUGUCACUUUCAAAGCUCAGCGCGAUAAGGCCCUGGACAAAGCCAUUCGGGCGGGACGAAUCUUGAUGAGAAGACCCGGCGUGGUUGUCCCUGAAGAUAUAAGAGCCGAUGUGAACGCUGCCCCUGAUUCCUCGAAUCGCCCUUCUUCAUCGGUCGUUCCUGAAAGAGACAUUGGAAAAUAAAGAAACAGUUCGCGUGCUCUGAGCGCGCAGUUAGCAUGAUCAAGUACUCGUUAGAGGUUAUCGGCUUAUCAUUCGAGUAACGUGAUUACUCCCUUAUUGUAUCAGAAUUUAUUAGUUUGCAAGCUUGUGGUAACGCCGCACGAUGAUUAUGAAAUUUGUUUGUGGGAUAUGGAGAUCAUCCCUUGAACUGCAUAAGCGCGAGUAUGCUAUACUGGUUUAAGCCGUCAGUGACUUUUAGCCGGUAACUUCCGUUAGUCGGGUAUAGUGGUCACCCUAGGUAAAGUAAGCGUGAGCAUGUUGCACCGCCUUAAGUCGUUGCCGACUUAAGUCGAUUGCUCCGUUUGUAGGGCAUAGUGGUCACCCCGAGCUAAGUAAGCGUGAGCAUGUUGCACCGCCAUAAGUCGUUGCCGACUUAAGUCGAUUGCUCCGUUUGUAGGGCAUAGUGGUCACCCUGAGUUAAGUAAGCGUGAGCAUGUUGCACCGCCAUAAGUCGUUGCCGACUUAAGUCGAUUGCUCCGUUUGUAGGGCAUAGUGGUCACCCUGAGUUAAGUAAGCGUGAGCAUGUUGCACCGCCAUAAGUCGUUGCCGACUUAAGUCGAUUGCUCCGUUUGUAGGGCAUAGUGGUCACCCUGAGUUAAGUAAGCGUGAGCAUGUUGCACCGCCUUAAGUCGUUGCCGACUUAAGUCGAUUGCUCCGUUUGUAGGGCAUAGUGGUCACCCUGAGUUAAGUAAGAACGCAAGUCAAUCAUAAAUGAGCCAAGUAUCUUUGAAAUCUCUCUUUAUUGAUGACGUAUUUCCAUUAUACAGAAUACAUGGUCGCUCCGACUGUUUUGAAAUACAGCUAGGGGUAGAACUUUCGGAGGUGCUCUAUGUUCCAGGAGUUCCCAACUUCCGUGCCAUCCAUUUGGGUGAGGCGAUAUGAUCCGGGACGAGUGACUUCUGCUACUAUGAAAGGUCCUUCCCAUAAGGGUGAUAACCUGUGCCGUCCCUCCCCCGUUAGAAUUCGGCGGAGGACGAGGUCUCCCAUCGAAAAGAAACGUUGCCGCACAGCUUUGUCGUGGUAGCGCCUUAGAGUCUGCUGGUAUCGUGCUGAUUGAAUCACUGCAUUCAGUCGUUCUUCCUCAAGUACGUCAAUAUCCUCCAGCCUAGUGGCUUCGGCUUCUGCUAUGCUUUCGAAGAUCAAUCUUGGCGCCCCAAACUUGAGAUCAGCAGGUAGCACUGCCUCCGACCCAUAGACCAUGAAGAAAGGAGUGUUUCCAUGCAGGGCCCGGCUAGGUUGGGUUCUCAAGCUCCAAACAACAUAAGGCAAUUCUCUUAUCCAUUUUCCUGCGAAUUUUUCAUUUUUAUCAAAGACCCUUUUUCUAAGUGCCUCCAAUAUCAUUCCGUUGGCUCGCUCAACCUGCCCGUUGGCUCUUGGAUGGGCUACAGAUGCAUACUUGAUCUGAAUGCUUUUUUGCUCGCAGAAGUCAAAGAAUUCUGAACUGGUGAAGUUGGAUCCCAAGUCAGUGAUGAUACUGUUUGGUAUCCCAAAUCUGAAUAUUAUGCUUUGUAUGAAUUCCACGGCUUUAGCAGAGGUUAGAGGCAAUGGGCUGGAACUCUAUCCAUUUAGUGAAUUUGUCAAUUGCCACCAAUACAUGGGUGUAUCCUCCUUGAGCUUUCUUGAAAGGUCCAAUCAUAUCCAAUCCCCAGCAUGCGAAAGGCCAAGUUACUGGUAUGGUUUGUAGCUGCUGUGCUGGCAUGUGCUGUUGCUUUGACAGGUAUUGGCAAGCUUCACAUCUCUGAACUAACUCGGCUGCGUCAUUCUUCGCCGUCGGCCAAUAGAAUCCUGACCUGAAAACCUUCCCGACUAAUGUUCUGGAUGCUGCGUGUACUCCACACUGCCCUGCAUGGACUUCCUCCAGAAGUUUCUUCCCGGUGGACGGGAGAACGCACUUCAUGAGGACGCCUGACGCGCCCCUCCUGUAUAAUACCUCCCCAAUGAGUGUAUAGUGGGCUGAUUGUCUGGCAAUGCGCUCUGCCGAGUUCUUGUCAUCUGGUUCUUCUUCAUUCUUUAUAUACUUAAUAAUCGGCUGCCUCCAGUCAUCAGAGUCUGACUCGGGUUGAUCUAUGAUGUUGCACUCUUCUAUUUGACCCGUCGAGAUGCUCGGCUGGAGAAUUUCUUGCACGAAGACCCCGGGCGGGACUUGAGUCCGACCGGAUCCGAGCUUGGACAGUACGUCAGCCGCCGUGUUCCGAUCUCUCUCUAUAUGAUGAAACUCCAGACCUUCGAAUUUAUCUUCUAGCUUUCGUACGGCGGUGCAGUAUCUUCCCAUUGAGUCACUUGAACAAUCCCAUUCCUUGUUUAUCUGACUGAUGACUACCAGAGAAUCUCUGUACACCAUCAGUCUCUUGACACCCAGUGAUAUGGCGAUGUUUAAUCCGUGUAUCAAAGCUUCAUACUCGGCUGCAUUGUUAGAGGCCGGGAAUAGCAAUUGGAGAGCAUACUUGAGGUGCUCGCCUCCAGGUGCGGUGAAGAGAAUUCCUGCUCCUGCUCCCUGUAGCUUCAGCGAGCCAUCAAAAUACAUUCGCCAUACUUCUGCGGUUUCUGGAUUAUCCGGCACUUGCUGUUCUGUCCACUCUGAUACGAAAUCGACCAGUGCUUGAGUUUUGAUGGCAGUGCGAGGUCGGAACUCGAUAUCAUGGGAUCCCAACUCGCAAGCCCACUUGGCUAUUCGGCCAAUGGCUUCCUUGUUGUGAAGAAUGUCCCCUAUUGGAAAACCAGUAACUACUAUGACUUUGUGGUCGUCAAAGUAGUGGCGCAGCUUGCGGGCAGUCAGAAGUACUGCAUAUAAUAGCUUCUGAACUUGAGGAUACUUUUUCUUCGAUGGGCCUAGAACCUCACUGAUGAAGUAGACAGGAUGUUGUACCGGGUAGGCAUGCCCCUCUUCCACUCGCUUGACUACCAACGCGGUGCUUACACGUGAGUCGUGCAAGAGAUAUAUAGCAGCAAAUCUUCAGCCGGCUGAGUCGGCGUAGCUCGCCGGGGCAGUCUCAAUACUGGCGGUGUUGUCAGGAAUUUCUUCAGUGCGUCUAGAGCUUCUUGUGCCUCUGAAGUCCAUUGAAACUUAUCCACCUUCUUCAGUAAUUUAUAAAAUGGCAGACCUUUUUCUCCCAGCCUGGAUAUGAAUCUGCUCAGGGCUGCCAUACAUCCAGUGAGUCGUUGAACCUUCUUUUGCGAUCGAGGAGCUUCCAUCUUCAUGAUAGCCUCAAUCUUAUCUGGAUUAGCUUCAAUUCCCCGGUGGCUGACAAUAAAUCCGAGUAACUUUCCUGCUGGGACCCCGAAGACGCAUUUCUCAGGAUUGAGCUUCCAUCUAUAUCUUCUCAGGCUGUUGAAAACCAGCUGUAAGUCUUCGAUGAAGUUUUCCGGAUUCUCCGUUUUAAUCACCACGUCGUCUACGUAAGCCUCCACACGCUUGCCCCAGUGAUCGGCUAAGCAUGUUUGAAUAGCCCUCUGAUAAGUCGCUCCAGCGUUUUUGAGGCCGAACGGCAUGGAGGUAUAACAGAAAGCACCAAACGGGGUGAUGAACGCUGUUUUUUCCUCGUCUUCUUUUGCCAAACUAAUCUGAUGGUACCCGGAAUAGCAAUCUAAGAAAGACAGCAUCGAACAUCCAGCGGUGGAAUCCACCACCUGAUCUAUCCUUGGGAGCCCGAAGGGAUCCUUCGGACAGUGUUUGUUGAGAUCAGUAUAGUCGACGCACAUGCGCCAAUCCACUUUAUUCUUUUUGAGUACAAGAACAGGUUUGGCUAACCACUCGGGGUGUAAUACUUCUCUAAUAAAUCCAGCCGCGACCAAGCGAGCUAACUCGGCACGAAUGGCUUCUCUCUUGUCGGGCGUGAAACGACGCAGCUUUUGCCGGAUCGGCCUCGCCUGAGGAUAGACUUUCAAUUUGUGCUCGGCCAACUCCCUCGGGACUCCGGCAUAUCCGCAGGUUGCCAUGCGAAUACGUCUCGGUUAUCUUGCAGGAACUGGACGAGCGCGCUUUCCUAUUUGUCAUUUAAACUGGAGCUGAUGAUGGCCGCCUUGCGCUCAUCAGCAACCCCAGGUUGAUCCGCUUGGUGUCUUCAGUCGGCCGCAUAGAGGUCGCGGCCUGGGCUUCGUUUGCCGGCACGGCGAGGUCUUCUUCAGGCUUAGAGUUCGCCGGUGUAGAAGGAACCGUUGACGGCUUGGUGGUGAGGGCUGCUUGGAUGGCCACUCGGAAACAUUCUGCGGCGCCUUGGAAGUCGGCGCGCACAGUUAUGAUUCCUUGCGGCCCUGGCAUCUUCAGUAUCAUGUACGUAUAGUGUGGGAUGGCCAUGAAUUUGGCCAGCCCCGGCCUCCCGAUGAUGGCGUUGUACCCGCAGUCGAAGUUCGCCACCUCGAACCUCAGGAACUCGGUUCUGUAGUUAUCCGGAGUCCCGAAGGUGACCGGCAUGUAGAUGUGGCCCAGCGGGUAUUCUCCUUCCGUCGGCACGAUGCCAAAGAAAGGAGUGUCUGACUCGUGGAGCUCUUUGAGGUGAACUCCAAGCCUUGGAGCGUACGGGGAAGUGACGUUGAUGCUGCUCCCCCGUCCACUAGCACCUUCUUCACCCGGCUCUCUCGGAUCACCGGAUCGACGAGGACGGGUAUUUACCCGGGUGGUCGAAGUUGAGCCAUUGAUCCUCCCGAGUAAACGUGAUUGGGUGCUCCGACCACCGGUACGGGGCGGGAGGGCCGGUGGUCGCCACCAGUAUCUGGCGAUCGUUGAGCUUUUGUGUCUCUUGUUUUCCUGCGACCCAUGUCCGCCGAAGAUGACGUUGACCUCCCUGUCGACGCGCGGGAAAGCUCCUCCUCCCCCUCCUCCGGCUGAUGGGCUGUCGUGGUUCAUCUGGUCCUCCCCUCGGCGGAGGGCGGUAGAGGUUGGAAGGGUCGGCCAUGCCCGACGGAGUGCUGAAAUCCGGCAGUUGCGGAGAGUGUGGCGCAUGUCCUUGUGGUACGGGCACUGGGCGUCGAGGAUGUCGUCCAGCGUGCGUUCGCCUCCACGAGUCCUCCUCGGGCGCGAGAGGUGGGUGGUCCGGCGGGUGUACCUCUUCGCGAGGCCUUUUCUCCCAGCGCUUGUCGGGCGGCUGGUUCGCGUCGCGUCGUGGUGCGCCGGUGCGGCUUUGCUCCUCCGAUGAGGUCCUGGGCCGCUCGUCAGCGUGAUGUAGAGGUCGGCUUCCCGGAACAGCUCCUCGGAGGUAGUCGGCGCCUUUUGCAGUAUGGCUCGGACGAAAGCGAGUCGUUAGAUCCUCUGUAGAAGUCCUCGAUCACGGCCGCCUCCGUGACCUCGGGGAUGCGGUUUCUCAUGGUCUGGACCUUUUAAGGUAUGACCGGAGGUCUCAUCCCCCCGGCGCUUGAUGGAUUUGAGGUCCAUGGUUGCGCUGGCUUGUCGGAGAGAGACUGGAAGUUGGCGGUGAAACGUCGACUGAAGUCUCCCCAGUCGUCGAUGCAGUGUCGGGGUAGAUGUUGUAGCCACUGCAGCGCGUCUUGCCCGAGGACGAUGGGUAGAUACGCAGUCAUGACGUCCUCGGGAUGCCCCGGCAGCCCGAGCAGCGGUGGUGUAGACGGCCAACAGCCCCCUGGAUCCUGCUUAGGUUCAUAUUUGUCGACAUUGGAUACCUUGAAGUUGGGAGGCCAUUGGAUGGCCCUAAGGCGCGGAGUAAGGGGCAGAUACUCCGCAUGUGUCCUCCUGUCGUCGAGGAUGUCGUCUGUCCCGGGGAGGGGAUGGCGGUGGUGGUUCCUCGACCGUCCCCGGGUGGUUCCACCAGUUGAAGCUGUUGCCGACUCAGUUCGGUGGCCUGGCUUUGAGUCGGGAAGCAUGAUCUCGGUCAUACUCCUCCGACGGCGAAUUUCGUUCUCGUGCCGCCGUUCGCGCGAAGCAUUGAUAGAGCUCCGCGCGUCUCGGCGACUGUUGAUGGCGUGUCGCAGAUCGUUCGGCGGGUGAGCGAGCGGUAGAGAUGGUUGGCUGCCUGAGUGAACAGGCGCCGGUUAUCCCUCGGCGUCGGGGGUCGAGGAAGUCCGUCAGCUAUCCGGCUAGACGCCUCCGACCUCGCUCGGCGUGUUCAUAGCUCGGGCGAAGUCAGGGUUCAAGUUGCGCCCGAAGAGCGGAUUCUCGUGUCGUUGCCUUGCAUUUGUCGGCUUGUCCUGAGUCCGACGGCGAUACGUCGUCGGGAGUUCCUUCGUUCCCUGAAGACGCGUUCUUCCGGAGUUUCUCCUAUCUCUGAGACUUCGUCUCGCCGAGACAGGCUGCUCCGGAUCCCGUUCUCCGGCUGCGUGAUGUCGUCGAACGUUUCUACGUCGGUUCCUUCGUCGGCGGGAUUCUCGCUGAGGCGGUUCUUCUCCGGGCGCGGUCGGUUCAUCGUCGGAGACGGCGGGCGACUCUGCCCUCCCGAUGAAGAGGACGGUCGGGGGUAGAACGGUAUUGCUGCCGCCGGCGACUUUCUUUCGUUUCUCCUUUGAGGUCGGAGGAACGGGAAGAACGACUGGCCUCUCCCUGAUCUCCUUCCUUCUCAUGACCUGUGUCCAUUCUUUCGUCGGGGAAGUAGACAGCGGAGUCUUCCGGGGUCAGCGAGCUUCUAGCUCCAGCCUUCCCGGAGACGAUCUUGUUCCGAAGAGCGGACGUAGCGUUUUUUCCAGCAUUUUUCGGAGUUUGUUGGAGGAGACUUCUGUUCCGGCAGAUCCGCGAGGCGGUGUAGGAUUCCUUCUUCGUCCGCCACGGAUGAGAUUGUCCCGAAGCAGAAUAUGGAUCCGGGACGCAUGGUGAUCUUGCUGUGGAAGGUGACGGCCAUUGAGCUAGCUUGGAUCGUCGACACACCCCUACUGGCGCGCCAAGCUGUCCGGUGUUUUUGGGUCCGACGCACACCGGGGUUGCCCCUCAGGUGUUUUAGGGUAGGACCGGUGUCGACGACUGUAGCAAAAUGGUUCGUGCCGAUCGCACGAGGGACAAUGAACAAGAUUUGCAGGUUCGGGCCGCUUGGAAGUGCGUAACACCCUACGUCCUGAUGAGUAUAUGAGCGUGGUUACAAGAGGAUUCUCUGGAUAGAGGCGCAGAGAGUUUUUGUGGGUGGCUAAGUAGAAUAGGGUCGAUCGUUCUGAAGGGGUGCCCCCUAGGCCUUAUAUACUCGACCGUGGGCAGUACAUGGAUAUGAUAACAACAAGUAGCUAAAAGAUAGUGAACCUCUUGAGUUUAUCCCUACGUAACCCUCGCCGACUUAUCCUCGCAUGGCUCGUUGCAUGGGGGCUUCAGCGCGGGAAAGUCGGGUCUCUGUUGCGAUUCAUUCGUUCGACCGUUGUGGGCUGUCCCGGUCUCACUCUUCUCUUCUUUGUUGGUUGUUUUCCCUAGGCCCACGAAGAAUGACCUUACGAAUUAUUGGCCCUUGGCCUUCGUGAGGCCUUUACUUCUUUAGUGACCNNNNNNNNNNNNNNNNNNNNNNNNNNNNNNNNNNNNNNNNNNNNNNNNNNNNNNNNNNNNNNNNNNNNNNNNNNNNNNNNNNNNNNNNNNNNNNNNNNNNUUUUUGCAUUAUGCUUUAGAGGUCAGCAUUAUGUCAUCAUAUUUUGUUGCAAGGUCAGCGUAUAUUGUCUUUAGCAGCCGAGUCGCGAAAUCAUCCAUAUCUUGCUAGGUAGUGCAAUUUAUUUGCUUCUGCGUUGAUUGGACGUCUGACAGGACUUCUCUGUCUAGUCUUUCACGUCGUUUCUGUCGGCCAUAUCUUGUACUUUGCUGGUUAUAUUUGGCUUUCCUCUGAUCCUUACUGAUAUCUCAUUUUUGUCUUGAGGUAUUCACUGCAUGUCUGCACGGAUGUGACCGUUUGAAAAAUUACUGAUAAUUCCUGGGCGUCCCCCCCCAAGGUGUGGGCAAGACGGUUGGUACGCUGAGUGUUUUAGCCGGUUGCCUCUGAUAGUAAUGCGAUGGACGGCUAGUGUAAUCAUAUCCUUUGCGCUGUUGACUGGAGUCCAAUGGGUAGUGUGCAUGAACGGCGUCCGCCGUCUGACGUGUCUUCAGUGGGUGGAGUGCUUAUUGAAUGCCUUGCGACUGUUCAGUGCCGCGGUUAGAAGUGAGCGGUUGCCUUUCCCUUCUAUAAAUAACCCCUUUGCUUUCUGGUUUCUUCACAUCUCUUCGCUGCUCCUUACUGCCUCUUCCCUUCUUCUCUCCAAAGCUUCACCAUGGGCAAGAAAACAAGCGCAAGCGUGAGCCGACUCCCCAUCGGAGGAGUUUGGUGAUCGGAAUACUCGAGGAGGAGUUCUCCUCGAGCCGAGGGGUUCCGGCUCCCUCCCCCGCGUGAGUCGUCUGACGAUCGACGACUCCCAGGGGUGCGCGGAGGUCUGGACGAAUCCGGGCCGUCGAGCGCUCCGGGCUCGAAGGCUCGGAUGAGUCGGAGUACUCCUGGAUGAGGAGGACUCGGACGGCUGACGAGGGUGAGACGACGACGACGACGAGACGACGACGACGGCGACGUGACGCAGCGGCAAGUGGCAGGGCGCGCGCGCGACGGCAGCAGGGACAGCACCAAGGCGACAGCAGCAGGGCAGCACCAAGGCAGCAGCAGGGGCAGCACCAAGGGCGGCGGCGGCAGCAGGGGCAGGCCAGUGGCUAGACGCCACUGGUCUUCUUAGAUAUUAGUAUAGUUUAGUAUAGCUAGAAUAUGUAGUAGUAAUUAGUGUAAUUUAGUAGUAGUAGUAAUGUAGAGUAGUAUAUUGUAGUUUAGUAGUAGUAGUAAUGUAGAGUAGUAUAUUGUAGUUAUAUAGUAGUAAUGUAGAGUAGAAUUAGGGAAGUACCAACUCGUGAAGAGUUGGUUUGUAAACUCGUAAACUUCCUUUUAAAUAAAGACUGUCGUUAUCCCCUCUUUUUGAUGACUGUCCUUGCUUUUGCCCGAAUGUUGAACUGAUUCUUUUGAUAUAGUGAAACAACGCCGAGCGAUGUGAAGAUUGACAUCAGCAUUUUUAGAAGUAACACUGAGCAAUCGAACACAAGACCAGCGUUUUAGAGGCAAUGCCGAAUGAUUAGAAGGUCGGCAUCGGCAUUUAAAGUAAUGCCAAGCGACAAAUACGGGGCCGGCAUUUUAGAUAACGCGAGUGAUUGAAUGUCGGCGUCAGCAUUUUAGAAGUAAUGCUUGAGCGUUUGAACACGUGGUCGGCGUUUUAGAGGUAACACCGAGUGAUUGAAGAUCGACAUCGGCAUUUAGAAGUAAUGCCGAGCGAUUGAACACGUGGUCAGCGUUUUAGAGCAGCGCCGAGUGAUAGAAGGUCGGCAUCGGCAUUUUAGAAGUAAUGCCGAGCGAUUGAACACGUGGUCGGCGUUUUAGAGGCAGCGCCGAGUGAUAGAAGGUCGGCAUCGGCAUUUUAGAAGUAAUGCUGUGCGAUUGAACACGUGGUCGGCGUUUUAGAGGCAGCGCCGAGUGAUUUGAAGGUCGGCGUCGACAUUUUUAGAAGUAAUGCCGAGCGAUUGAACAUGUGGUCGGCGUUUUUAGAGGCAGCGCCGAGUGAUUGCCCGUUUCUUAAGUUACUUUGAGGAAAAUGACCGAGUGAUGAGGUGGCACAUUGGCUUUCUUGGAAAUAACUGUUGGAUAUCCACGUGGCAUGCUGGGAUUUCGGAGAUGACCGCCGGGUGGUGACUGGGCACUUUUGAAAAGGUAUCUGGCUCAAGAAUAUCCCUUAAGAGUCGCGCUUUUAGCCGCCUUUGCUUUCCGUGCCCUAGUUCUUGCAUUUCCGCAUCUGAAUCUUCUCUGCCGCUCGCCUCCCACUCUGUUUCGCCAGCGAGAAGCAAGAUGGCGCCCAAGAGGAAGACUACGAACUCGUCUGCCGCAGUGAUCCCCGCCAUCGACCCCAACAGUCAGUUACCCUUCGCAGGUAACCAUAUGUCUGUAAUUUCUGAAGUUGAGCUUCUCCGCCUUGUCUCCAUCGGGGUUCUCCCUCCACGGGAACUCUGUUCUUGGCGGGCUUGCCGCGGGACUACUGUCCCAACCGAAGAUACCCACGAGUCAGUGGUUUACACUCCUUUCCUUCUUCGCGGCCUCGGCCUUCCCAUAUCUCCUUUUUUCCGUGGCAUCCUUGAUUUUUAUCACAUCAACCUGACUCACUUGAACCCUAACUCCAUUCUCCAAAUCUCUAUUUUCGUUCACCUUUGUGAAGCUUAUCUCGGCGUGCUGCCGCAUUUUGGUUUAUGGAAAUAUCUGUAUCACUGCCGCCCUGGGAUGGCCGGGGGGCAACAUCAGUUGGUCGGAGGUGCAAGUUUAGAGAUGCGCCGUGGGCGGAAGACCGAGUAUCUCGAGAUACCCCUCAAAGACAGCAUUAAAGGUUGGCGUCUGGAGUGGUUUAUAAUGGAUAAUUAUGGAAAUUCUCUCCCUUCCCGCUCAGGAAGACAGCCAGACGUUCGUACUCCAAGUUGGACUGAGUCUCCCACGGAUCAAGAAGUGCCGAGGCAGGCGUGUUGCUUACUGAAGUUGGAUUACUGAAAGAGAGAGGUCUGACUGCCGAAGCUGUGGUCACAGAUUUUGUCUUCAAAAACAUUCAGCCGCUGAAAGACAGGGCCUAUCCGGCAUAUCUUUACCGAGGGCUGGCCGACUCAACCCGAGUUACCAAUAGGAGAAUUCCUUCUGCGGAUUUGGUGAGCCGACUCGAAAUGAUCCUCAGGGGUAAAGUUUCAAACGUUGGUGCUCCAGUGGCAUACUCGGCUUGGAACCUGCCUUCUCCCAAAGAUUUCACUCUUUUUGUGUCCAAUCCGCCCGUGACAGAUAGCAAUUUGGGUCUUAGAGUGCGACCCUCUGCUGAAGAGGUCCGUUCCUUAGUUGCUUCGCUCGGGGAGAUACCUGAUGAUGAACGACAGAUUUAUUUUGAAGUGCCCCUGAACCCUAGUGAUGCAGACAUAAAUGACAUGCUCGAUCUGUUAGCUGAGGAUUCAUCUGAUACUGCUCCGGAUGGUACAUUGGCAGUGGUGCCCCUUCCAGAGGUUGAUGCGACCUUGGAUGUCUCGAGACCUGUCAAUACUCGCCCGAGGCGUCCUAGCCGAACUAGUCAGCCCGAGCCUUCUGCUGAUGAGCAGAAGAAGAAAAGAAGACGCCUCCGGCGAGUGUCCAGCUUUGACGAGGAUGCCAGCACCUUAGCUCCUGCUGCCGAAGAAAUGACUGCAACUGGCCUUGCUGACAUUGAUCCCAAUGGGUGUGCUCCGCCUGCUGCUGACCCCAAUGAGGAUGCUGUUUGUGCUGUUGCUGUGGAAGAUGAGGAGGAAGAGAAUGAAACUCCAUUAACUCGGAAAAAUAGUCGGCAGAUCGUCGCUAGCGGUGGUAGUAGUGGGGUUCCUUCUCCUGCCUUGUCUGCUCUUAUUGGUCUGCAAGAACUGUCCAUGGCCAAUUUUGAUCAAGCUCUAGAGGAUAUGGUCCCUGAGAACUUGUUGUUGGAAUCUGCAGACGUUGAUGCAACAGAAACUUGUGCAGCUGUGCCAGAUGCUGGGUUGAGGUCGUCCCGUGCCUCGUCGACCUUAGAGCACGAUCUCGAGGGUCGGGAUGAUGACUUGGAUCGUCCUGAUCCUACGGAAGUAGCUGAGGGCCCGUCAACCUUAGAGGUGGUCACGGCAGAGAGCUCGGAUCCCUUGAAUAGUGCUGACACGUGCCCAGCCCCCGAGGGUGUCGCCGGGGAGGACUCAGCUCAGGUGAGGAGUGUAGGCCACUACCCAGCCCCCGAGGGUGUUGCCGGGGGUGACCCGGCUCGAGUGGGCAGUGCCAACCUUGACCCAGCCCCCGAGGGUGUCCGAGCGAGGUCUCCCUCCUGCACUUCCAUGGAUGUUCAUGUGGGUUCACCUCCACACUCUGGCGGCAUGAUGGUGGCUCAAACUCCGGAUCAGGGGGUCGCUUUGGAGGGCAGCAUCCCCACUGGUCUGGCGUUAAGCUCUGCUGAAUGUACUGAGAUCGUUCCUGCUGGUCUGCUGCAAGCUGCUUCGAGUGAUGGUCUGGCACUUGGUCAUCAGCUGAUUUCUCCUGACUUGGGGAUCCCUUCGCUUUUUUCCAACCUCCAGGUGCUGUGCUGUGCUUUAGUUUGAUCUUUAUGUUGCAUGAAUUGUCGCCAUUAUGCUCAUCCGCUCUUCUUAUCAGGCUUUGGUGGAUGGAAUGGUCGGCCAGCUGAAGUCGCAGGGUGCUUCCAUCCCGGAGGUGGCUUCAUCUCUUCAGCGUUGGAAUCCGGUGUUGCUUCGGGGUCGUGUAUCUGAGUUGGAGGCCACUAAUGCUGGUUAGUGUCCUUUCUUCUUCUUCUUUGUUCUUGCCCGUGGGUUGUUUUACCUUCUGACCUCAUUUUGCUUGAAUACCUCUUGAUAGGGAUGACUCGGCAGAUCACAGUUCUUGAAGAAAAACAUUCCCAAGAUCAAGCUGAAAUGGCUCGACGAUGCGCUGACUUCGAGGAGAAGUAUUCUCAAAGUCAGAUCGAGUUGAGUCAGGUCUCUGCAGCUUUGGAUGAUGCCAACGCCCUGAGUUCUUCCCUUCAUGCUCAGCUUGACUCUGAGAAGGUAGCUUGCGAACCCGUGCUUCGCCUUAUCAUGCUCUUGGAUUCUGAAUGAGUUGAUUUUUGCUUGUAGGAAGAAAAACGCAUCCUUGCUGCUUCUCGCGACAACUUGGACAGAUUGUACCGAGAUUCCAGCAACUCGCUGACCAUCUUGGAGAGGAGCCACCGUUUUACGAUGGAGGAGCUUGACAACCAGCGCCGUCAACUGCAAGAAUCCUCGGAUGAAGUGGCCCGCCUUACACAGUUGCUAUCGGCAAAGGACGCCACCAUCAAGGGACUCCGAGCUUCUAAGAAAUCCAUUGCUCAGGAGUUAGAAACCGCUCAGCAGGCUGUUAAAGUUGCUGAAGAAGCUGCUGUCACUUUCAAAGCUCAGCGCGAUAAGGCCCUGGACAAAGCCAUUCGGGCGGGACGAAUCUUGAUGAGAAGACCCGGCGUGGUUGUCCCUGAAGAUAUAAGAGCCGAUGUGAACGCUGCCCCUGAUUCCUCGAAUCGCCCUUCUUCAUCGGUCGUUCCUGAAAGAGACAUUGGAAAAUAAAGAAACAGUUCGCGUGCUCUGAGCGCGCAGUUAGCAUGAUCAAGUACUCGUUAGAGGUUAUCGGCUUAUCAUUCGAGUAACGUGAUUACUCCCUUAUUGUAUCAGAAUUUAUUAGUUUGCAAGCUUGUGGUAACGCCGCACGAUGAUUAUGAAAUUUGUUUGUGGGAUAUGGAGAUCAUCCCUUGAACUGCAUAAGCGCGAGUAUGCUAUACUGGUUUAAGCCGUCAGUGACUUUUAGCCGGUAACUUCCGUUAGUCGGGUAUAGUGGUCACCCUAGGUAAAGUAAGCGUGAGCAUGUUGCACCGCCUUAAGUCGUUGCCGACUUAAGUCGAUUGCUCCGUUUGUAGGGCAUAGUGGUCACCCCGAGCUAAGUAAGCGUGAGCAUGUUGCACCGCCAUAAGUCGUUGCCGACUUAAGUCGAUUGCUCCGUUUGUAGGGCAUAGUGGUCACCCUGAGUUAAGUAAGCGUGAGCAUGUUGCACCGCCAUAAGUCGUUGCCGACUUAAGUCGAUUGCUCCGUUUGUAGGGCAUAGUGGUCACCCUGAGUUAAGUAAGCGUGAGCAUGUUGCACCGCCAUAAGUCGUUGCCGACUUAAGUCGAUUGCUCCGUUUGUAGGGCAUAGUGGUCACCCUGAGUUAAGUAAGCGUGAGCAUGUUGCACCGCCUUAAGUCGUUGCCGACUUAAGUCGAUUGCUCCGUUUGUAGGGCAUAGUGGUCACCCUGAGUUAAGUAAGAACGCAAGUCAAUCAUAAAUGAGCCAAGUAUCUUUGAAAUCUCUCUUUAUUGAUGACGUAUUUCCAUUAUACAGAAUACAUGGUCGCUCCGACUGUUUUGAAAUACAGCUAGGGGUAGAACUUUCGGAGGUGCUCUAUGUUCCAGGAGUUCCCAACUUCCGUGCCAUCCAUUUGGGUGAGGCGAUAUGAUCCGGGACGAGUGACUUCUGCUACUAUGAAAGGUCCUUCCCAUAAGGGUGAUAACCUGUGCCGUCCCUCCCCCGUUAGAAUUCGGCGGAGGACGAGGUCUCCCAUCGAAAAGAAACGUUGCCGCACAGCUUUGUCGUGGUAGCGCCUUAGAGUCUGCUGGUAUCGUGCUGAUUGAAUCACUGCAUUCAGUCGUUCUUCCUCAAGUACGUCAAUAUCCUCCAGCCUAGUGGCUUCGGCUUCUGCUAUGCUUUCGAAGAUCAAUCUUGGCGCCCCAAACUUGAGAUCAGCAGGUAGCACUGCCUCCGACCCAUAGACCAUGAAGAAAGGAGUGUUUCCAUGCAGGGCCCGGCUAGGUUGGGUUCUCAAGCUCCAAACAACAUAAGGCAAUUCUCUUAUCCAUUUUCCUGCGAAUUUUUCAUUUUUAUCAAAGACCCUUUUUCUAAGUGCCUCCAAUAUCAUUCCGUUGGCUCGCUCAACCUGCCCGUUGGCUCUUGGAUGGGCUACAGAUGCAUACUUGAUCUGAAUGCUUUUUGCUCGCAGAAGUCAAAGAAUUCUGAACUGGUGAAGUUGGAUCCCAAGUCAGUGAUGAUACUGUUUGGUAUCCCAAAUCUGAAUAUUAUGCUUUGUAUGAAUUCCACGGCUUUAGCAGAGGUUAGAGGCAAUGGGCUGGAACUCUAUCCAUUUAGUGAAUUUGUCAAUUGCCACCAAUACAUGGGUGUAUCCUCCUUGAGCUUUCUUGAAAGGUCCAAUCAUAUCCAAUCCCCAGCAUGCGAAAGGCCAAGUUACUGGUAUGGUUUGUAGCUGCUGUGCUGGCAUGUGCUGUUGCUUUGACAGGUAUUGGCAAGCUUCACAUCUCUGAACUAACUCGGCUGCGUCAUUCUUCGCCGUCGGCCAAUAGAAUCCUGACCUGAAAACCUUCCCGACUAAUGUUCUGGAUGCUGCGUGUACUCCACACUGCCCUGCAUGGACUUCCUCCAGAAGUUUCUUCCCGGUGGACGGGAGAACGCACUUCAUGAGGACGCCUGACGCGCCCCUCCUGUAUAAUACCUCCCCAAUGAGUGUAUAGUGGGCUGAUUGUCUGGCAAUGCGCUCUGCCGAGUUCUUGUCAUCUGGUUCUUCUUCAUUCUUUAUAUACUUAAUAAUCGGCUGCCUCCAGUCAUCAGAGUCUGACUCGGGUUGAUCUAUGAUGUUGCACUCUUCUAUUUGACCCGUCGAGAUGCUCGGCUGGAGAAUUUCUUGCACGAAGACCCCGGGCGGGACUUGAGUCCGACCGGAUCCGAGCUUGGACAGUACGUCAGCCGCCGUGUUCCGAUCUCUCUCUAUAUGAUGAAACUCCAGACCUUCGAAUUUAUCUUCUAGCUUUCGUACGGCGGUGCAGUAUCUUCCCAUUGAGUCACUUGAACAAUCCCAUUCCUUGUUUAUCUGACUGAUGACUACCAGAGAAUCUCUGUACACCAUCAGUCUCUUGACACCCAGUGAUAUGGCGAUGUUUAAUCCGUGUAUCAAAGCUUCAUACUCGGCUGCAUUGUUAGAGGCCGGGAAUAGCAAUUGGAGAGCAUACUUGAGGUGCUCGCCUCCAGGUGCGGUGAAGAGAAUUCCUGCUCCUGCUCCCUGUAGCUUCAGCGAGCCAUCAAAAUACAUUCGCCAUACUUCUGCGGUUUCUGGAUUAUCCGGCACUUGCUGUUCUGUCCACUCUGAUACGAAAUCGACCAGUGCUUGAGUUUUGAUGGCAGUGCGAGGUCGGAACUCGAUAUCAUGGGAUCCCAACUCGCAAGCCCACUUGGCUAUUCGGCCAAUGGCUUCCUUGUUGUGAAGAAUGUCCCCUAUUGGAAAACCAGUAACUACUAUGACUUUGUGGUCGUCAAAGUAGUGGCGCAGCUUGCGGGCAGUCAGAAGUACUGCAUAUAAUAGCUUCUGAACUUGAGGAUACUUUUUCUUCGAUGGGCCUAGAACCUCACUGAUGAAGUAGACAGGAUGUUGUACCGGGUAGGCAUGCCCCUCUUCCACUCGCUUGACUACCAACGCGGUGCUUACCACGUGAGUCGUGCAAGAGAUAUAUAGCAGCAAAUCUUCAGCCGGCUGAGUCGGCGUAGCUCGCCGGGGCAGUCUCAAUACUGGCGGUGUUGUCAGGAAUUUCUUCAGUGCGUCUAGAGCUUCUUGUGCCUCUGAAGUCCAUUGAAACUUAUCCACCUUCUUCAGUAAUUUAUAAAAUGGCAGACCUUUUUCUCCCAGCCUGGAUAUGAAUCUGCUCAGGGCUGCCAUACAUCCAGUGAGUCGUUGAACCUUCUUUUGCGAUCGAGGAGCUUCCAUCUUCAUGAUAGCCUCAAUCUUAUCUGGAUUAGCUUCAAUUCCCCGGUGGCUGACAAUAAAUCCGAGUAACUUUCCUGCUGGGACCCCGAAGACGCAUUUCUCAGGAUUGAGCUUCCAUCUAUAUCUUCUCAGGCUGUUGAAAACCAGCUGUAAGUCUUCGAUGAAGUUUUCCGGAUUCUCCGUUUUAAUCACCACGUCGUCUACGUAAGCCUCCACACGCUUGCCCCAGUGAUCGGCUAAGCAUGUUUGAAUAGCCCUCUGAUAAGUCGCUCCAGCGUUUUUGAGGCCGAACGGCAUGGAGGUAUAACAGAAAGCACCAAACGGGGUGAUGAACGCUGUUUUUUCCUCGUCUUCUUUUGCCAAACUAAUCUGAUGGUACCCGGAAUAGCAAUCUAAGAAAGACAGCAUCGAACAUCCAGCGGUGGAAUCCACCACCUGAUCUAUCCUUGGGAGCCCGAAGGGAUCCUUCGGACAGUGUUUGUUGAGAUCAGUAUAGUCGACGCACAUGCGCCAAUCCACUUUAUUCUUUUUGAGUACAAGAACAGGUUUGGCUAACCACUCGGGGUGUAAUACUUCUCUAAUAAAUCCAGCCGCGACCAAGCGAGCUAACUCGGCACGAAUGGCUUCUCUCUUGUCGGGCGUGAAACGACGCAGCUUUUGCCGGAUCGGCCUCGCCUGAGGAUAGACUUUCAAUUUGUGCUCGGCCAACUCCCUCGGGACUCCCGGCAUAUCCGCAGGUUGCCAUGCGAAUACGUCUCGGUUAUCUUGCAGGAACUGGACGAGCGCGCUUUCCUAUUUGUCAUUUAAACUGGAGCUGAUGAUGGCCGCCUUGCGCUCAUCAGCAAACCCCAGGUUGAUCCGCUUGGUGUCUUCAGUCGGCCGCAUAGAGGUCGCGGCCUGGGCUUCGUUUGCCGGCACGGCGAGGUCUUCUUCAGGCUUAGAGUUCGCCGGUGUAGAAGGAACCGUUGACGGCUUGGUGGUGAGGGCUGCUUGGAUGGCCACUCGGAAACAUUCUGCGGCGCCUUGGAAGUCGGCGCGCACAGUUAUGAUUCCUUGCGGCCCUGGCAUCUUCAGUAUCAUGUACGUAUAGUGUGGGAUGGCCAUGAAUUUGGCCAGCCCCGGCCUCCCGAUGAUGGCGUUGUACCCGCAGUCGAAGUUCGCCACCUCGAACCUCAGGAACUCGGUUCUGUAGUUAUCCGGAGUCCCGAAGGUGACCGGCAUGUAGAUGUGGCCCAGCGGGUAUUCUCCUUCCGUCGGCACGAUGCCAAAGAAAGGAGUGUCUGACUCGUGGAGCUCUUUGAGGUGAACUUCCAAGCCUUGGAGCGUACGGGGGAAGGUGACGUUGAUGCUGCUCCCCCCGUCCACUAGCACCUUCUUCACCCGGCUCUCUCGGAUCACCGGAUCGACGAGGAGCGGGUAUUUACCCGGGUGGUCGAAGUUGAGCCAUUGAUCCUCCCGAGUAAACGUGAUUGGGUGCUCCGACCACCGGUACGGGGCGGGAGGGCCGGUGGUCGCCACCAGUAUCUGGCGAUCGUUGAGCUUUUGUUGUCUCUUGUUUUCCUGCGACCCAUGUCCGCCGAAGAUGACGUUGACCUCCCUGUCGACGCGCGGGAAAGCUCCUCCUCCCCCCUCCUCCGGCUGAUGGGGCUGUCGUGGUUCAUCUGGUCCUCCCCUCGGCGGAGGAGGCGGUAGAGGUUGGAAGGGUCGGCCAUGCCCGACGGAGUGCUUGAAAUCCCGGCAGUUGCGGAGAGUGUGGCGCAUGUCCUUGUGGUACGGGCACUGGGCGUCGAGGAUGUCGUCCAGCGUGCGUUCGCCUCCACGAGGUCCUCCUCGGGCGCGAGAGGUGGGUGGUCCGGCGGCGUGUACCUCUUCGCGAGGCCUUUUCUCCCAGCGCUUGUCGGGCGGCUGGUUCGCGUCGCGUCGUGGUGCCGCCGGUGCGGGCUUUGCUCCUCCGAUGAGGUCCUGGGCCCGCUCGUCAGCGGUGAUGUAGAGGUCGGCUUCCCGGAACAGCUCCUCGGAGGUAGUCGGCGCCUUUUGCAGUAUGGCUCGGACGAAAGCCGAGUCGUUAGAUCCUCUGUAGAAGUCCUCGAUCACGGCCGCCUCCGUGACCUCGGGGAUGCGGUUUCUCAUGGUCUGGAACCUUUUAAGGUAUGACCGGAGAGUCUCAUCCCCCCGGCGCUUGAUGGAUUUGAGGUCCCAUGGUUGCGCUGGCUUGUCGGAGAGAGACUGGAAGUUGGCGGUGAAACGUCGACUGAAGUCUCCCCAGUCGUCGAUGCAGUGUCGGGGUAGAUGUUGUAGCCACUGCAGCGCGUCUUGCCCGAGGACGAUGGGUAGAUACGCAGUCAUGACGUCCUCGGAUGCCCCGGCAGCCCGAGCAGCGGUGGUGUAGACGGCCAACCAGCCCCCUGGAUCCUGCUUAGGUUCAUAUUUGUCGACAUUGGAUACCUUGAAGUUGGGAGGCCAUUGGAUGGCCCUAAGGCGCGGAGUAAGGGCAGAUACUCCGCAUGUGUCCUCCUGUCGUCGAGGAUGUCGUCUGUCCCGGGGAGGGGAGUGGCGGUGGUGGUUCCUCGACCGUCCCCGGGUGGUUCCACCAGUUGAAGCUGUUGCCGACUCAGUUCGGGUGGCCUGGCUUUGAGUCGGGAAGCCAUGAUCUCGGUCAUACUCCUCCCGACGGCGAAUUUCGUUCUCGUGCCGCCGUUCGCGCGAAGCAUUGAUAGAGCUCCGCGCGUCUCGGCGACUGUUGAUGGCGUGUCGCAGAUCGUUCGGCGGGUGAGCGAGCGGUAGAAGAUGGUUGGCUGCCUGAGUGAACAGGCGCCGGUAUCCCUCGGCGUCGGGGGUCCGAGGAAGUCCGUCAGCUAUCCGGGCUAGAACGCCUCCGACCUCGCUCGGCGUGUUCAUAGCUCGGGCGAAGUCAGGGUUCAAGUUGCGCCCGAAGAGCGGAUUCUCGUGUCGUUGCCUUGCAUCUUGCUCGGCUUGCUCCUGAGUCCGACGGCGAUCACGUCGUCGGGAGUUCCUUCGUUCCCUGAAGACGCGUUCUUCCGGAGUUUCUCCUAUCUCUGAGACUUCGUCUCGCGAGACAGGCUGCUCCGGAUCCCGUUCUCCGGCUGCGUGAUGUCGUCGAACGUUUCUACGUCGGUUCCUUCGUCGGCGGGAUUCUCGCUGAGGCGGUUCUUCUCCGGGCGCGGUCGGUUCAUCGUCGGAGACGGCGGGCGACUCUGCCCUCCCGAUGAAGAGGACGUCGGGGUAGAACGGUAUUGCUGCCGCGGCGACUUUCUUUCCGUUCUCCUUUGAGGUCGGAGGAACGGGAAGAACGACUGGCCUCUCCCUGAUCUCCUUCCUUCUCAUGACCUGUGUCCAUUCUUUCGUCGGGGAAGUAGACAGCGGAGUCUUCCGGGUCAGCGAGCUUCUAGCUCCAGCCUUCCCGGAGACGAUCUUGUUCCGAAGAGCCGGAGGUAGCGUUUUUCCAGCAUUUUCGGAGUUUGUUGGAGGAGACUUCUGUUCCGGCAGAUCCGCGAGGCGGUGUAGGAUUCCUUCUUCGUCCGCCACGGAUGAGAUUGUCCCGAAGCAGAAUAUGGAUCCGGGACGCAUGGUGAUCUUGCUGUGGAAGGUGACGGCCAUUGAGCUAGCUUGGAUCGUCGACACACCCCCUACCUGGCGCGCCAGCUGUCGGUGUUUUGGGUCCGACCGCACACCCGGGGUUGCCCCCUCAAGGUGUUUUUAGGAGUAGGACGGUGUCGACGACUGUAGCAAAAUGGUUCGUGCCGAUCGCACGAGGGACAAUGAACAAGAUUUGCAGGUUCGGGCCGCUUGGAAGUGCGUAACACCCUACGUCCUGAUGAGUAUAUGAGCGUGGUUACAAGAGGAUUCUCUGGAUAGAGGGCGCAGAGAGUUUUUGUGGGUGGCUAAGUAGAAUAGGGUCGAUCGUUCUGAAGGGGUGCCCCCUAGGCCUUAUAUACUCGACCGUGGGGCAGUACAUGUGAUAUGAUAACAACAAGUAGCUAAAAGAUAGUGAACCUCUUGAGUUUAUCCCUGCGUAACCCUCGCCGACUUAUCCUCGCAUGGCUCCGCUGCAUGGGGGCUUCAGCGCGGGAAAGUCGGGUCUCUGUUGCGAUUCAUUCGUUCGACGUUGUGGGCUGUCCGGGUCUCACGUCUUCUCUUCUUUGUUGGUUGUUUUUCCCUAGGCCCACGAAGGAAUGACCUUACGAAUUAUUGGGCCCUUGGGCCUUUCGUGAGGCCUUUUACUUCUUUAGUGGACCCAGGGGAUAUCUAUCCCCCACACCGACCGAUUCCCAUCCCACGUCAUUUGGAUUUAGCCUCAACCCGCCUAGCGGCUUCGCUUUGGCGGGCGCUCUCGUAGAGGCAAGCCCAAACCCUCUGGGGUUUCGAAUGCGGUCACCUUGGGACCGGUUGACGGACGUCUCGACCUACGGGCCCUCUGGUCCGAGGAAGACGACGAGCCCAGCUUCUGUUGGGAUUUCUCUGGACUUGGCAACCCCAGUGCCAUGCGGGACUUCAUGACCGCAUGCGACUACUGCCUCUCCGACUGUUCCGACGGUAGCCGUAGCCUCGGCGACGAGGACUGCGGCCCAAGUCGCGAAUGCUUCCACGUCGAUCUAGGGGGUCCCUCCGAAGGCAACCAUCUCGGCAUGCCGGAGGACGGUGAUCUCCCUAGGCUGGUGCCUCGCGUUGACAUCCCACGGGAGCUAGCUGUGGUCCCCGUUCAGGCGGGGGGCCAUGACCCAUAGCUCGAGCAAAUCCGCGGGGUGCAGGCCAGGCUCGACGAGGGAGCAGGAGCGCUUGAGCCGAUCCGCCGGGACGUCGGGCAGGCAUGGACGGGCCAACCUCCGGCCGGAGAAAUACGUCAUCUACCCCAGGGCUUCCAGCACCGCGUCGCCGACGACGUCAGGGUCAGGCCGCCACCCGCAUCCAGUGGGGUCGGCCAGAACCUGGCUGCAGCAGCAAUGCUCCUCCGCGCGAUGCCGGAGCCAUCAACCACCGAGGGGCGUCGAAUCCAGGGAGAGCUCAAGAAUCUCCUGGAAGGCGCCGCGGUCCGACGGGCCGAGAGCUCUGCCUCCCGAAGGCAGGGGUACCCCUCGGAACCUCAUGCCGCGACUUCCCGAUUCAUGCGGGAAGCCUCGAUCUACACCGGGCGCACGCGCAACACAGCGCCUGCGGCCCCGGGUCGCCUCGGCAACGAGCACCAUCACCGCGAUCGUCGGGCCCACCUCGACGAGAGGGUGCGCCGAGGCUACCACCCCAGGCGUGGGGGACGCUACGACAGCGGGGAGGAUCGGAGUCCUUCGCCCGAGCCACCCGGUCCGCAGGCCUUCAGCCGGGCCAUACGACGGGCGCCGUUCCCGACCCGGUUCCGACCCCCGACUACUAUCACAAAGUACUCGGGGGAGACGAGACCGGAACUGUGGCUCGUGGACUACCGUCUGGCCUGCCAACUGGGUGGAACGGACGAUGACAACCUCAUCAUCCGCAACCUCCUCCUGUUCCUCUCCGACACCCGCGCCUGGUUGGAGCACCUGCCUCCGGGGCAGAUCUCCAACUGGGACGACCUGGUCCAAGCUUUCGCCGGCAAUUUCCAGGGCACGUACGUGCGCCCCGGGAAUUCCUGGGACCUCCGAAGCUGCCGACAGCAGCCGGGAGAGUCUCUCCGGGACUACAUCCGGCGAUUCUCGAAGCAGCGCACCGAGCUGCCCAACAUCACCGACUCGGAUGUCAUCGGCGCAUUCCCCGCUAGCACCACCUGCCGCGACCUGGUGAGCAAGCUGGGUCGCAAGACCCCCACCAGGGCGAGCGAGCUGAUGGACAUCGCCACCAAGUUCGCCUCCGGCCAGGAGGCGGUCGAGGCUAUCUUCCGAAAGGACAAGCAGCCCCAGGGCUGCCCAUCGGAAGAUGCCCCCGAGGCGUCAACUCAGCGCGGCGCCAAGGAGAAGGGCAAGAAGAAGUCGCAAGCGAAACGCGACGCCGCUGACGCAGACCUUGUCGCCGCCGCCGAGUACAAGAACCCUCGAAAACCCCCCGGAGGUGCCAACCUCUUCGACAAGAUGCUCAAGGAGUCGUGCCCCUAUCACCAGGGGCCCGUCAAGCACACCCUUGAGGAGUGCGUCAUGCUUCGGCGCCACUUCCACAGGGCCGGGCUGCCCGCGGAGGGUGGCCGGGCCCAGGACGACGACAAGAAGGAAGAUCACCAGGCAGGAGAGUUCCCCGAGGUCCGCGACUACUUCAUGAUCUACGGUGGGCAAGCGGCGAAUGCCUCGGCUCGGCACCGCAAGCAAGAGCGCCGGGAGGUCUGCUCGGUGAAGGUGGCGGCGCCAGUCUACCUAGACUGGUCCGACAAGCCCAUCACCUUCGACCAAGCCGACCACCCCGACCAUGUGCCGAGCCCGGGGAAAUACCCGCUCGUCGUCGACCCCGUCAUCGGCGACGUCAGGCUCACCAAAGUCCUCAUGGACGAAGGCAGCAGCCUCAACAUCAUCUACGCCGAGACCCUCGGGCUCCUGCGCGUCGAUCUGUCCUCUGUCCGGGCAGGCGCUGCGCCCUUCCAUGGGAUCAUUCCCGGGAAGCGCGUCCAGCCCCUCGGACAACUCGACCUUCCCGUCUGCUUCGGAACCCCCUCCAACUUCCGAAGGGAGAUCCUGACGUUCGAGGUGGUCGGGUUCCGAGGAACCUACCACGCGGUGCUGGGAAGACCAUGCUACACGAAGUUCAUGGCCGUCCCCAACUACACCUACCUGAAGCUCAAGAUGUCGGGCCCCAACGGGGUCAUCACCGUCGGCCCCACGUACAAACACGCGUUCGAAUGCGACGUGGAGUGCGUGGAGUACGCCGAGGCCCUCAUCGUCGACCUGGAGAGCCUCUCUAAGGAGGUGCCAGAUGUGAAGCGACAUGCCGACAACUUUGAGCCAGCGGAGACGGUGAAGUCCGUCCCCCUUGACCUCAGCGGCGACGCCUCCAAGCAGAUCCGGAUCGGCUCCGGGCUCGAACCCAAAUAGGAAGCAGUGCUCGUCGACUUUCUCCGCGCGAACGCCGACGUCUUCGCGUGGAGUCCCUCGGACAUGCCCGGCAUACCAAGGGAUGUCGCCGAGCACUCGCUGGACAUCCGAGCCGGAGCCCGACCCGUCAAGCAGCCUCUGCGCCGAUUCGACGAGGAGAAGCGCAGAGCCAUAGGCGAGGAGGUCCACAAGCUAAUGGCCGCAGUGUUCAUCAAAGAGGUAUUCCAUCCCGAAUGGCUUGCCAACCCUGUGCUUGUGAGAAAGAAAGGGGGAAAUGGCGGAUGUGUGUAGACUACACUGGUCUAAACAAAGCAUGUCCGAAGGUUCCCUACCCUCUGCCUCGCAUCGAUCAAAUCAUGGAUUCCACUGCUGGGUGCGAAACCCUGUCUUUCCUCGAUGCUUACUCAGGGUAUCACCAAAUCAGGAUGAAAGAGUCCGACCAGCUCGCGACUUCUUUCAUCACACCCUUCGGCAUGUACUGCUAUGUCACCAUGCCGUUCGGCUUGAGGAAUGCGGGCGCGACGUACCAGCGAUGCGUGAACCAUGUGUUCGGCGAACACAUUGGCCGCACGGUCGAGGCCUACGUCGAUGACAUCGUAGUCAAGACGAGGAAAGCCUCCGACCUCCUUUCCGACCUUGAAGUGACAUUCCGAUGUCUCAAGGCGAAAGGCGUCAAGCUCAAUCCCGAGAAGUGUGUCUUCGGGGUGCCCCGAGGCAUGCUCUUGGGGUUCAUCGUCUCCGAGCGGGGCAUCGAAGCCAACCCGGAGAAGAUCGCAGCCAUCACCAGCAUGGGGCCCAUCAAGGACUUGAAAGGCGUACAGAGGGUCAUGGGAUGUCUCGCGGCUCUGAGCCGCUUCAUCUCACGCCUCGGCGAAAGAGGUCUACCUCUGUACCGCCUCUUAAGGAAGGCCGAGUGCUUCACUUGGACCCCUGAGGCCGAGGAAGCCCUCGGGAACCUGAAGGCGCUCCUCAUGAAGGCGCCUAUCUUGGUGCCCCCGGCUGCUGGAGAAGCCCUCUUGGUCUACGUCGCCGCGACCACUCAGGUGGUUAGCGCCGCGAUUGUGGUCGAGAGGCAAGAAGAGGGGCAUGCAUUGCCCGUUCAGAGGCCAGUCUACUUCGUCAGCGAGGUACUGUCCGAAACCAAGAUCCGCUACCCACAAGUUCAGAAGCUGCUGUACGCGGUGAUCCUAACGCGGCGGAAGUUGCGACACUACUUCGAGUCUCAUCCGGUAACUGUAGUAUCAUCCUUCCCCCUGGGGGAGAUCAUCCAGUGCCGGGAGGCCUCAGGUAGGAUUGCAAAGUGGGCGGUGGAAAUCAUGGGCGAGACGAUCUCGUUCGCUCCUCGGAAGGCCAUCAAGUCCCAGGUCUUGGCGGACUUCGUGGCCGAAUGGGUCGACACCCAGCUACCGACGGCUCCGAUCCAACCGGAGCUCUGGACCAUGUUUUUCGACGGGUCGUUGAUGAAGACGGGAGUCGGCGCGGGCCUACUCUUCAUCUCGCCCCUCGGAAAGCACAUACGCUAUGUGCUACGCCUCCAUUUCCCGGCAUCCAACAAUGUGGCUGAGUACGAAGCUCUGGUCAACGGAUUGCGGAUCGCCAUCGAGCUAGGGGUCCGACGCCUCGACGCUCGCGGUGACUCGUAGCUCGUCAUCGACCAAGUCAUGAAGAACUCCCACUGCCGCGACCCGAAAAUGGAGGCCUACUGCGAUGAGGUUCGGCGCCUGGAAGACAAGUUCUACGGGCUCGAGCUCAACCACAUCGCUCGGGGCUACAACGAGACUGCGGACGAGCUGGCUAAAAUAGCCUCGGGGCGAACAACGGUUCCCCCGGACGUCUUCUCCCGGGAUCUGCAUCAACCCUCCGUCAAGAUCGACGACACGCCCGAGCCUGAGGCACCCUCGGCCUAGCCCGAGGUACCCUCGGCGCAGCCCGAGGCACCCUCGGCACAGCCCGAGGCACCCUCGGUUCAGCCCGAGGUACCCUCGGCCCCCGAGGGCGAGACGCUGCACAUCGAGGGGGAGCAAAGCGGGGUCACGCCUGAUCAAAACUGGCAGACCCCGUACCUGCAAUAUCUCCACCGAGGAGAGCUACCCCUCGACCAAGCCGAGGCUCGGCGGGUGGCGCGGCGUGCCAAGUCGUUCGUCUUGCUGGGUGAUGAGAAGGAGCUCUACCACCGCAGCCCCUCUGGCAUCCUCCAGCGAUGCAUCUCCAUCGCCGAAGGUCAGGAACUCCUGCGAGAGAUACACUCGGGGGCUUGCGGCCAUCACGCAGCGCCUCGAGCCCUUGUCGGGAAUGCUUUCCGACAAGGCUUCUACUGGCCACGGCGGUGGCCGACGCUACCAGAAUUGUCCGCACCUGUGAAGGGUGUCAAUUCUACGCAAGGCAGACCCACCUGCCCGCUCAGGCUCUGCAGACGAUACCCAUCACCUGGCCUUUUGCUGUGUGGGGUCUGGAUCUCGUCGGCCCCUUGCAGAAGGCACCCGGGGGCUACACGCACCUGCUGGUCGCCAUCGACAAAUUCUCCAAGUGGAUCGAGGUCCGACCCCUGAACAGCAUCAGGUCCGAGCAGGCGGUGGCGUUCUUCACCAACAUCAUCCAUCGUUUCGGGGUCCCAAACUCCAUCAUCACCGACAACGGCACCCAAUUCACCGGCAGAAAGUUCCUGGACUUCUGCGAGGAUCACCACAUCCGGGUGGACUGGGCUGCCGUGGCUCACCCCAUGUCAAAUGGGCAAGUAGAGCGUGCCAACGGCAUGAUUCUACAAGGGCUCAAAGCUCGGAUCUACAACGACCUCAACAAGUUCGGCAAGCGAUGGAUGAAGGAACUCCCCUCGGUGGUCUGGAGUCUGAGGACAACGCCGAGCCGGGCCAUGGGCUUCACGCCGUUCUUCCUAGUCUACGGGGCCGAGGCCGUCUUGCCCACAGACCUGGAAUACGGCUCCCCGAGGACGAGGGCCUACACCGACCAAAGCAACCAAGCUAGCCGAGAAGACUCGCUGGGCCAGCUGGAGGAGGCUCGGGACAAGGCCUUACUACACUCGGCGCGGUACCAGCAGUCCCUGCGACGCUACCACGCCCGAGGGGUCCGGUCCCGAGACCUCCUGGUGG
rnacentral:lncRNA from 1 species